rnacentral:lncRNA from 1 species
UCUUUUUUUUUUUUCCUGACAAAUGUUUGCUUGUCAUAGGGUAUUGAUGGGACUACUCAUCAUUAUACUUUGCUAGACGGAGAGAUGGUUAUUGACACUGAGCCAAGUACAAGGAAACAGGAAAGAAGAUAUCUCAUUUAUGAUCUAAUGGCAAUCAAUAAUGUAUCUCUUGUAGAGGUUAGAUAUAAUUGGUUUACUUAAGUUUGUGUAUGAAAGCUCUAAGAUUUGCUUUCAUACUUUGACAAUGUUAAUUUGAUGACCCNNNNNNNNNNNNNNNNNCCCCCGGGUCCCCCAGUGUUCUUGUGCUUAGUCUUUUAUGUCCAGUUGUUUGCGAACUCCUGAAUAUACCAUUAGUUUUCUUGUCAAUGUUUUUGCUUUAUGUGGGAAUAUUUUAGAUAUUUUAAAUUUGUAAUACAUUAAAAAUCCCCUGCGCAAAUUAUCUGAGUGUUUGUGCUUCUCUUUAUCUAUGUGCGUGCAUGUUUUUUUUUUAAUUCCAUUGAUGCUGAUGUUUUGAGGACACUUAUAUAAUUAUCAAUGAUAUUUUGCAGCGACCUUUCCAUGAGAGGUGGAUGAUACUUGAGAAUGAAGUGAUAAAACCCCGAAACCAUGAGCGAAACAUGUUGUACAAGAGUCGGAAUCCUUAUUAUAGAUAUGACCUGGAACCCUUUAGAGUAUGUGCUUUGGUUACCUCUGAGCUAUGAUUUUGUGCUCAGAUUCAAUUCCAUGCACUGAGUGGUGAUAUCAUGCUUAGUAUUGCAUAGAUAAUUAAUAUGUACUCAUAUACAUAUUCUAGGUGAGAAGGAAGGAUUUUUAUCUACUCUCUGCUGUCACUAAGCUUCUGCGCGAGUUCAUUCCAAAGCUUUCACAUGAAGCUGAUGGUUUAAUCUUUCAGGUACUAGGGAUACUGAAUCUAAAUGGCAAGACCUUUUCAAGUGUGCAGUUUGCAAUGCUAUGUUGAAUGAAGCCGAUUUUCUGUCAUGUGCAUAUGUGAUAAAAUUGGACGUUUCACCAUUAAUCAUCUGACUCUUUUUUUACAUUAUAUAUAUAUAUAUAAUGUAAAAAAAGAGUCAGAUGNUAUAUAUAUAUAUAUAUAUAUAUAUAUAUAUAUAUAUAUUGUACAAAAUCUUGAGAUUCUUUUGUAGUUUUUUUUAUUUAAAGCAUAUUUACAUUAGGAAUAGGGACUUUUUUCUUUCUUUAUGCGGAAGUAUGUGGCCACUUGACUGUUGUGUUAAAGGAAGUAUGAUAAUGUUUUUGUCUGUCUCUCUGAUUAUUUGCAAAUCUAGCUCCCAGAGUCCAGGCUCUGUAUCUGUUUCAAUCUUGAAAAAUUAGUGAAAAAUCUUCGACAAGAUGGGGAAAUGCUGUAAAAAUAUUAAAGCUCAUCUCAAUACCCCAGUCAUGAUAUCAGAAGAUUGUUGUAGUAAAGCAAAUGUUACAACCAGACUUGCUUGGAUUUUUUUCUUGGCAUUUACUUCGAAGACAAACAAUUAAGUUCGUCCUAGUUUGUUUUUAGUCUUCUAGCUGAGUUCAGCUUUUACCCAAGCAUGUGGUUUUCAUAGUCUUUUUUAGGGUAGAUACCAUUUGUUGGCUGAAGGAUGGUGCCUCAUGCAAGGCCUUUGUGACUCAGCAUGAGGCUUCUAGCUAGUAAUUAAUGAGUAUGCGUUUUGAACAUGUCAAUGGGUUGGAUGGUUUCAGACUUGCCCGUUGUGUUGUGUUAGUAGAUAGUUAAAUGUAUUUAAUGUUUAAGUUGAAGCUAGAUUUUAACCAGGUGGAUUUAGUUUUAUACUAAUGAAGAAGUUUCUUAAAUGAUUGAUAUAAACGAAAACUUCUUACAUAGCAAAAGAGUUCGUAAGCUGCAUACUUCUACAUAAAAAUUCAAGGUGAAAGUUCCUGGACACAAGGGGACUUGUUAUGGAUGAUUAGCUAUAUUACAUAUCUUUAGGUUUUAAUAUACAGUCAAAAUGAAGUGUCGCUAGCAAAAGAGUUCGUAAGCUGCAUACUUCUACAUAAAAAUUCAAGGUGAAAGUUCCUGGACACAAGUGGACUUGUUAUGCAUGAUUAGCUAUAUUACAUAUCUUUAGGUUUUAAUAUACAGUCAAAAUGAAGUGUCGCCUAAUGGUCUCUAAAUGACAGGGGUGGGAUGAUCCUUAUGUACCCCGGACGCAUGAAGGCCUUUUAAAAUGGAAAUUUCCAGAGAUGAACUCAGUUGACUUCCUUUUUGAGGUUGUUCUCUAUUGUAAUUUAUUCAGAUUUUCGUGUUCACUUAUUAUAUCAACAUCUGAAUGCAAGUUAUUUUGACAGGUAGAGAAUAGCCGUCGUUUACUUUUUCUAAAUGAACGGGGGAAGAAAAAGCUAAUGAAUGGACAUAGAGUUGUUUUUAAAGGUGAACUGCAAGUUUCCUGUUGUGAUUGCUGUUAAUCAUGUUUAGGAGCAUCUUGAGAGCCAUUUUAUCCUAUUCUAUGAGUAGUUAAUAACUUGAUAGUGUUUUCAAUUUAAAAUGGAUGGAGAGAUUGGCCAAAACAUGUUAUGUGCCAGCUUGUUUGAAUUUUUAAUCUUCUGACGUUAUGACUGUUCGCAGAUGAGUCUGAAAUAUACUCAUUUUCGGGUAAGAUUAUUGAGUGUUCGUGGAACCCGGAGGAUAGAGUUUGGAUCUUUAUGCGAAUAAGGGUGGACAAAUCUACUCCAAAUGAAUUCAAUACCUUCAAGAAGGUAUAUCUUGUGCAUUUAAUAAUUUUCUAAUGGGAGGGUUAGUUACCAUUAGGGCAAACCCUCUACCUCAAUUUCGUUAAAUAAAUUAACACAUCAUUUACAUCAUGUUUCAAACAAUUGACAGGUCAUGAGGAGCAUUAAUGAUAAUAUCACGGAGGAAGUUGUGUUGAAUGAGAUAAGUGAGAUUGUUCGCCUUCCAAUGUAUGCUGAAAGGAUAAGCAAGGAUUGUCGAGCAUUUGUCAGAACAGCCCAACGCAAAUGAGUAGCAUCAUGGUACCCACCAUGGCGCUUCAUACUUAGAAUCAGUCACCUAAUACCAUAACACCAUAAUAUAAAUUACUUUGAUCAAAUAUACAAAAGUUGCCUUUGACUUCCUUGCCAAAGUCCACAAUGUAUACCUAGAAAAAGAAAGUUGUUUCCCUAAAAAUUGCAGGUGAGACUGAGAAGCAGUUUACAGUUGGGAGUGAACAUUUAAAUUUCAUUUGCUCCUACAAAGCUAACACACCUGGCCUGACUUGACUUCAUUUUACAUGUGGGGAAAAUUUAAUAGACCAAAGGUAUCUGUAUCACUUAUUUGUGGAAACUGCUUAGUUUGUUGCAAUCGACGUGAGGGAAGGUAUAGUUCAACACCUUAUCAGGUUUGUAUAUUGAAAUGCAAUGAAGCAGACUGAUCGUUGAAUACACACCGACAGGACUUUGCUCCAAGAAGUUAGAAGUUGGUAGACUAGAAAUGAAAAUGAAGGAACAUAAGUGUAAAAUUCGUUUAUUUUGCAAGCAAUAUUAGAAUACGAGUAUUUGUUUGAAGUAUAGCGGCUGCAGCCUGCAGGUGUGCUGUAUCAGGUUUGCAAUUUUUUUUAUGCAGACGGACUUGACAAUUGGUAUUGUGUGUACUUUUGAGUUUCGUAUUUAUGAUGUUAAAUCUAUGUCUAUACUCGCGAACGAUUAAUAAAAACAUAUAAGGAUAUUGCGCGUAUGUGUAUAGGGUUGUAUUCCACAGAGAACGUCUUAAAUCAAAGAACAAACAAAACUUUUAUAAUACUUCAUUUUUUACUGAAAAUGUUUUUGUGUGUGUGUGUAUGUUUGUGAUCAAAUACAAAGCAAUCCUCGAAUAAAAACAAAAAAUCAAUAUAAUUAAAUUAAAAUUCUAUAUAAUUUAGUAAUAUUCACUUCGCAACUAAUGAUUUGUGUUGUAAAAAUUGUUGAAGAUCUAUAGAAGAAUAGUGAAAAUAUCUAGAUAUGUGAUGGUGGAGAUAAUGAAGGUGGUGGACAUGGAAGAACGGGGCAUGGAGUGUUAGGGCUAAAAAUACAUAUGACGCAACAAAAAACCCACGUCUCAACUUGUAUACUUGUAUUAUUAAUAAGGACGCAACAAAAAAUCCACAUCUCAACUUGUAUUAUUAACAAGGGUUUGGCUAACUUGUGCCCUGAAGGGCAGAGGUUUAGAGCAUUUAUAGUUUCUAGUUUUUUGUGAUUCAUGCUUUACAUCAAGACACACAUUAAUUAUCAACCUGUAAUUUCAAAUAUUCAUACUUAUAAAAAUAAAUUUGAUAUUUUGUUUUUUCAUGUAUUGUAUUAUAAUUCUAAUCAUUUAUAUUUUUCAAUAAUGUUAAAAUAAUAAAAAAUCAUAAAUUUAUUGUUAAAUAUUAAAAUGGCUGAUUUUAAUUAGAAAAUAAUGUAUAUGCAGGGGGGCCUCAAUAUUAUUUGUAGGAUGAAAUCAAUUAAAAAUUGUAAUAUAAAAUAUGACAAAGAUAUUAUUCUAUAUACUCACAUUUUUUUGAAUAUAAUAUUGUUUUAUUUUAAAUAUAAAAUUUGAAAGAUAAAUCAAAAAUAAAUGUAUAAUUAAUAUUUUGAUAAAGUUUGAAUAGUUUAUACACAUACGCUGAUAAUCAUGCAAAUUUAAAGACAGUCAAUGACAUUAAUUAUGACUUACAUGUUAGCCAUUUCAUAUUAAUAAAAACCGUUAUUAAUAAUACAAUCAACCGAACUUGAAUACUCAAGCCUAAUAGCACUCAAGCGUCCGCUCGCAAGCGUUACCUAAAUUUAUAUUUUGAGCACACUUAUUAAACACAAUAUGACUAUGUAUAUAUAGCCAUCUCAAACUUAUAAAAAUCAGAGUUUGACUCUAAAACACCUAAUCAUAAUCAUAAUCCAAUUCUGAUUUCUAACUCAAAUCGGAAUCCAAUUCCAACUUUGUUAAUACCCAACAAUCUUAUCCUAGCUUUAUGAUCAAGACAUAACUUUAUAAUAAUUGUCUAAACAUACAAUUAUUAUCCAUAUAUGUUUUGGAUCACCCAAACACAUACUACCAUUGUGAUGAGCUAAUACCUAACAUGGAGGGGGCAGAGCAUCACAGAGGAGGGGCGGCAAAGAUGAGGCGAAUGUGGGGGUUGGGAUGGCGGAGGUGGAGGUAUGACAGAGUUGAGAUUAAGAUGGUGAAGGUAUAAAAAAGGUGGAGGUUUAGACUUGAGAUGUGUACAGGUGGCGAUGGCUGAGGUUGAAAUUGUGGCGAUGGCUGAGGUGAUGCUGGAAGUGGAGGUGGAGGGGGAGAUUAGUUCCCAACCACGAGUCGAAUGGAAUCCGACAAAAAAAUUUGUUAAUAGAAGAAUCCAAAAAACUUUUAUUGUGUCACUUAAGUUAUAUAUGAAUUUCCGAGCCCAAGAGUUAAGAAUAAUAAGUUCUUCAUUACUCAAAAUAGAAUAACUGCUUAGAAUAACAAAACGGAUUAUAUUUGUCGAGAGGUAGUGCAAAAUCGUAUGAAUAUGAUCCUCGUUGUGUAUCCUUAUUAUUGGAGUGUUUCUGUGGAUUCCUGUACGAAGGUUUUGUAGAUGUGUUCCUUGAUCAUUUCCUAAAAAAAAAGAUUUUUCAGUUGAAUUUCUAAUUUGUAGAAUAAUGGAGGAGUCGAAUAAGAGUAUAUAUGUGUGUGUGUGAAUUUAUAUACAUCAUACAUUUAAAUUUAAAAUUUAAUUUCAAAGAACUUACUUUUUUGUCAUGUAUGGAAGUAUAAAUACAUAUUUGACACUGAAUUUAGUUUUUUAAUUCAUGAUAGUGUAUUUUUGUAAGAAAAAGAUGAAUCUAAAAUUUAUGAAAGUUAUUUAAAAUUAUAUAUAUAUUAUAUAACGAAGAUUCAACUUACAAUGCAUGCAAUUGUUGAGAGACGCGUAAUGCAUACAGUUAGUGACAGAUAGAAGAAUGCAUGCAUUUGUUGACAAAAAGAAGAAUCGUGAUAUGCACUAUAUGUAUUUUAUAUAUUAGAUAAUGACCUACUUCUUUGCAUCCACUGUGCAAUGCAUUCAAUUAUUGACAAACGCGUAAUGCAGACAGUUAUUGUCAAACUGAAAAAUCAUGGUAUACAUUUUUGCUUAGUAGUUAAAACGUGAUGUAUGUCUGGUGGACUCCAAUAUAUAAUAGGUAAACUUGAUCACUUUGAAAUUUGUCAAUUUAUUGCGUGAUAUUCAGUGAAAAUGAAGAAAGUUUGAUUAUAUUUGUGUAAUAAUAAAAUUCAAUCCUUUUUUAUUAAUAAAAAUAUUUUAAUCCUAUAUUGAAAUAUAUGUUAAAAGACUUUAGGGCCAUCAAACUCUUUUUGUGUUGUGCAUGUUGAAAUAAUAAAUUAUAUGUCAUUUUCAUAUUUUUCGUGUAUCAAAUAUUUCUUGUGUUGGUUAAAAUCAUGUUGAAUAUAUUCGGUAUAUUUAGUGGUAGCUUUCACCUCUUGUUUGAGAUUUUUUUUUUCGAAGUUAGCAUUAAUGUCAUAAAAUCUUGAUAUUAAUAAAAUGUUAUUAAUAUUUGAGAAUAUUUUCACACUUAAUAUCUCAAUAUUGUAAAAUCUCAUAUCAAUAUUGUUAAGAUUUGAGAAGAUUUUUGGAAUUAAUAUUAUAGAGUUAAGUUCCAUGUAGUCCACAUAUUUGCUGUAGUACCGUUGACCACGUAUGUUCUGCAACUAUAGAAUGACAUAAAAACAUUGCAAAAUGUAUGAAACUUGUUAUUUUGUGAAAUACAUUCUAUAAAUAUCACUAUUUCAUGAAAAAUAUUGAAAAUCAUUUAUAUUCGACAAGUAGAACACAUAUGUUCUGUAAUAUGUAAAUAUGUUCUGCAAACUUAACGUGUUUUGCAGAUUAAUGUGCUUUUCACUAUUUAACUUGUAGAAUGUUUAGGAUUGUCAAAAUUUUUAACAAAAUAAUGAUUUUUAUAGAACAUGAUUUGCAAAAUAACACAUUUUGCAAUGUUCUUAUGUCAUUCUAUAAUUGCAGAACAUACGUGGUCUACGGUAAUACAGUAAAUAUGUGGACUACAUGGAAUUUUGUUCAUUAUUAUAAUGCUAUAGAAUUUUAUAUUAACAGAUAUUAUUAAGAUUUGGGAAGAUUUUUAGAAUUAAUAUCUUGAUGUUAUAAAAUCUUAUAUUGAUAGAGUAUUAUUAAUAUUGUAUAUCAAAGAUUCUCAAAAUGGUAUCAUCCGUAUAAAAAAACAAGAUAUUGAAUGUUACAAACAAAAGAUAUCAGUCGAAUGGUACAAAUCACAAGCUAUUAAAUAUUAAAAAAAAUUUAUCAAUUGAAUAUUACAAAACCGCACGAUAUUUAAUGUUAUUAAAACCUGUACAUUUAAAUAAAAAUUGAACGUUAAAAAGUUUAAUAGAUAAUUUUUCCCUUUGAUGAUUAUUAAAAAAUAUAUUUUAUCAAAGAUAAAAAAUUAUUUUAAAUGAUAUACUUAUGAUAUAAUGAUAAGCAUUAAGCUAUAUAAUUAAGUUCAUGAUACAUUUUUAAAUAUAUUUAAAAUACACUGCCAUCUUAAUUUUCCCCUUUGAAAGAUUAAUAUCAUAUUAUGUACUCAAAUUUUUCUUACAAAACAAACCAUUUCAACCGUCCAAAUAUUUUAGGGGUAGCAAUUUCGAGUAAUGGGUCGUGUUCGUGUCAGCAAUCGGGUCGAUUUUGGGUCAAGCUAAAAUCACUUAAAAUUGAAUAAAACUGAAAAUUGAAGUUAUUAGAAAUGAAAUUCUAAUUUCGGAUCAUUUCGGGUCAAUCGGGUCACUUUCGGAUUUCUGUCUCAGUAAAUCGGGUUUCGAGUUGGGUCGGGUUCGUGUCGGAUUUCGGGUCGUGUCUGAUAUUGCCACCAUUACGUCCAAUUCAUAACAUGCAUGUGUAACAAAAUUACUCAAUCAUAAAUUAAAGUUUUGGUAAUUAAGUCAGGAAAUGGUUGCCUAGGAAAUUAAGACUCAUUUGUGAUCACCGAAUAUGUUACAUAAUGAAAAAGACAUUAAAGUAAAAAAGAAAAUAACAAAUAAGACUAUAAACCGUUAUGGUAAUCAAAGAUUAUGGAUAAAAUCUAAAAUAAUAUCAUUUGAUAUAAAUAAGAUCUUUUUCUUACAAAAUAUCAUUAAGAUACACUACAAUAGUCGGGGUAUAUAAGGAGUGACAAGUUUAGAGCGUCUACGAGUAUAUGUAAACAAGUUGUGAAAGGAACAAUCACCCAAGUUUGCAGGUAACUUUUUUGUGUUGUAGCUCUGCAUACAAUUAAUCGAUUAUUUUUCUUCAUUGUUCUUUCUUUAUGUUUUUAUUUUUGUGUUGAUUUUUAAGUUUUUUUUGUCAUUCUUGGGAGUCGUAUUCUUCUUGUUUCGAGUCGUUUCGAGUCAUUUGCAGAUUUAUUUCACAAAAGUUGUUAACUAAUAAUUUCAAACUCUAUAAACCAUCAUUUCACGUUUAUACGACAAAGGUGUUCUUCUUGUGUUCUAUUCCCAUGUUUAGGGGCCUCUUCUUUUUACCAUUGUUUCAUAUAUAAUUCUUUAAUUUAUUUUAUUUUAGUUAAUUAAUUUACCGAAUUGUGUUUCUUUGUCCUUCUGAAAAAUGACUUCCCAUGAAACUUUGACAAACAUCAUUGACGUGUGAGAUUUAGUUUUUCAAAUUUUUACUAUGAAUUCCAUUUACAUGUGAUACAUAUGUCGAAUGAAAUGGUAGACAUAGACAAGAUUCCCUCUCCCUUGCGGUAGCAAAUCCAUCUUGCUUUUAUAUUUCUCGAUUAUAAUUAUUUGGAUAUGACUAAUUAUCAAAAUUAUCUUAUUUUAUCCUUAUUUCACCCAAAUUUUAGCACAGUGGUUGUUACUAUAUUUCAGAGAGUACGGAUGUACUAUAGAGAUAUUUUUUGAACUUUUUGGUUUAUAUAAACAAUAAAAUCUCUGUUCAGUUUUGUUAAAAUGAAUCUUGAAGUAUUUAUAAUUUCAAUAACCAAAUGAUUCUGAAAAAUGAAUAAGAUUCGGUCACAAAAAUGUUAAUAUAUCAAAAUUUUAAAACUUUCCUAUUUAGAUUUUCCAAAAAUAAUACUAGCGCAUAUCCCAGAUUUUUUUUCUUUUUUGGAGUACUGCUUCCCCGACACAAAUUUACCUGGUCGACUGUCUUCCUGUUCUGCAUCCUGUAAAUAUUUUACAACAAAUAUUACAAAUAAUUAGUAUUAACGGCUAUGUCUCUCUACAUAUAUGCAAAGUAUUAUCAUUAUAAUGAUGUAUGUUAAAUUCUUAAUGCAUUGUAUAUAUAUGUAGAUUUAUCCUUAAUCCUGCUCAUUACUUAAUCACUUCUUAGCAUGGCACAUAUAUACACUAGCUUAUAAGAGGAGCAAGACUUAUGUGAGAGUUCUUAAAAGUCUACAUGCAUAGGGUGUAUAAGGAUUAGGGUUUAUAAACCGAUUUUAACUAGGAUCCGUUAAUUCUUCAUGAAUAUAUUUUUAGAUAUAAGCCUCAUUUCUGUGCUAAUAAGACCUGAUUCGAAUGUGGUAAGUAAUUUAGGCUCCCCGUCCGUCGUAAAUUAUCAGUCGUAAAUAGUGCAGUUUCCGGUAGUGAAUGAGCUUCAUUUUUAUCAUUACUGAGUAUUAACUAACUAGUUUAUUAUGUCCAGAAAAAUGGCAAUGCAAUCUAUGCUUAUGGGAAAACAAGCUCAUCCUUCACUCCACAUCCGAGCCACCAUCUUGGAUCUCCCACUGCGCAAUUCUUGGACAACUUCGAAAGACAAGGUUGUCGUGGUCAUGGGAGCCACAGGGACCGGCAAGUCCAGACUCUCUGUCGACCUCGCGAUGCGAUUCAACGGGGAGAUCAUCAAUUCCGACAAAAUGCAAGUGUAUGAAGGGCUAGACAUUGUCACAAACAAGAUUUCCGAGGAAGAGGCUUCUGGCGUGCCUCACCACCUCAUUGGAAUAGUCCCUUCCCAUGCAGAUUUCACAUGCACUGAUUUUUGUAACACUGUUUCUGGAAAAAUGGAUGACAUUGUGGCUCGAAAACGCCUCCCCAUCAUUGCUGGAGGCUCGAAUAAUUACAUCAAGGCUCUCAUUGACAAUGAGGCUUAUGGCUUUCGGUCCAAGUACGAGUGCUGUUAUCUUUGGGUGGACGUCUCAAUGUCCGUGCUCUAUGAGUCCUUGGCGAAGCGCGUUGAUCAGAUGGUUGACAGAGGAAUGAUUGAGGAGGCUAGGCAAUUCUUCAAGCCAAACGCUGAUUACUCCAAGGGGGUGCUGAGGUCCAUUGGCGGACCCGAGUUUGUUGAGUACUUUCGGCUUGAGGCAUCCGUUGAUGAAGAAACCCGAGUCAGGCUGCUGAAAGAAGCAUUGGAUGAGGUGAAGAUCAACACGUGUAGACUGGCUCGUCGCCAGGUGGAGAAGAUCUUGGCGCUGAAAUAUGAGAAAGGCUGGAACAUCCACAGGCUUGACGCGACCAAAGUGUACCAGAAGCAUGGCAAGAAGUGUGGCGAGGCAUGGGAGGAGCUGGUUUUAAGGCCAAGCAUGGAAAUCAUUAGCCAGUUUCUCUCCAGUAGUCAUGGCUUGUGCAACUCAAUGGAACUCCAUCUCAACUGAUCAGAUUUCUUGUGCAGAACCAACAUAACCUGCAUUUCCAGAUAUGGGAGGUGGUGAGAUUUAACUUUUCUGUGAAAACUAAAAUCGAAGUUUUUUUUUGUGUGUGUGUGGCUGAUUUGCGUAUUUUUGGUUGACAUUAUAUUAUGCAUGCUAUGAAGAAGAUGUAAAUCGCACUUUAGACGUUAUCUUAUCAUACGAGAAUCAGCGACAAAUGUGUCCGGUUCUCGAAAAUAUUUAGAUCAUGCAUGUGCACAGUAUUUUAUAAAUUUAUGCGUUUUUUAAAAUCCAUUUUCAUUUCGUAUUUUUGCGUUUACAAGUUGAUAUAUCCUUGUUUUUUGUUAAUAAUGUACGUGUGGACCGAUUGAGGAAGUUAUACAUUUUCGGAUAGAAUGUUGAUUGUCAAGAGUGCAUAUUUCGAGUCAAAAGUGGAGUCAAAAGAAUUUCAUAUUUUCAUGCUGACUUCGUAAGUCAAAAUAUAUAAAAAGUUGCACAACUAGGGAGAUAUAUAAAUCGAUGGUGUUGUAGACUGCAGUGUCCAAGUGUGACCAUGGUCCAUGUUAAUGUUAGCUUGCUACUUGUCAAGACUUUCAAACACGGUGGGAUUUAUUCUUCGACAACUACGUUAUUCUGCAAUCCUAUUACACGUAGCAUUUUGUGCCCAAUUUCAUUCCGACAUUCUUGUGGAUAAGAAGUCUUUACCCAAGGUGUUGUGAUCCAAAUGGUCUUGCGCACCACUUUAGGGCGUGUGUAAACAGUGUGGGUCACUUUACCAGUUUACCUGACAAUGUUUCUAAUUGUUUUACGGGUCAUUUUAAAGCUGCCUAGAGCAUCUAUCACGGUUGGCACUAGACCUGACAAACACUGUACUUUCGUGUUUUCGUGUACUUGAACCCAAAGCCGAACCCGAACUGUUUCGAUUUCGUGUACCAGUUCUGGAACACAUACACGAACCGAAUUAUAUCGUGUCAACACGAACUGUACACGUAAGUACACGAAAAAUUUCGUGUACCUUCCGUGUACCACGAACAGUCCGGAUGAAAUGUACACGAAAUACACAUUUGUACACGAAAGUACACGAAUUUCACAAUAAAUCUAUUAUUUUUACAAUUUUUCUGUGACAAAUAAUAGAUUAGACAUAAAAUAAAUGCAUAAGAUAACAGAAAUGAAAUAACAGAAUUGAAAUUGAUUAAACAAUAUAUAUAAAUAAGUAUAAUAUAUUUUUUAAUUUAUAUUUAUUUAUUUAUUUCGUGUACUUUCGUGUCGUUCGUGUACUUAUAUUAAAAACCGAACCCGACACUAAUAGUAACGUGUAUUUUUUGUGUUCGUGUACUUUCGUGUUCGUGUACCGAAUAUUGAAAACCAAACCCAAACUUUUCGUGUCGUGUUCGUGUCGUGUUUUCGUGUCGUGUACCGAAUUGCCAGCUCUAGUUGGCACCUUCUAAGGGGUGCUAAUUUUGACACAUAAUCUAAAAUAUUAUUUUUUAUAUUCACAUUUUUUUAAAUCAUUUUUAGCACCCUUCUUUCAAAAUACAUUCUAAUGGUUGACAUUCCAAAAUAUCAACUUUAUUAAUAAAGAAAUAUUUUAUGUAUUAUUGGGACCACAAAUGAAUAUUUUAUAUUUUAUUGGGACCAUAAAUAAAGUUGACACCCAACUUUUAGCAUCCAAUGCCAACUAACUUGGCACUCCAAUAGCACCCAACAUCUUCAAUGGAGUGCUAACGAAAAAGUUCCGGUCCAUGUCAUGCCACAUGUCAUCGACACCCCUCUUGGCGUUUCCCGUUGAAGAUGCUAUUAGCAUCACAUAAUAAACACAAAAUUUGAUAGUUUGGUGGAUUUUUAUUGGUUGAAUUGGUGUGAAUGCAGUGUCAUCCAAAUUUAUGAUUAGAUAGCAAUAAGAAUGCACUAAACUCAUAAAAAACACACUAUACAAAAGGAAAAUGCUUGGUGUAUAUAAUUGUGUACAAAAUUUUGUACAUAAUGACAUGUGGUGAGUUUUAAUUGGAAUGACUUCUCUGUAUAUACAUCAACAAUCCAAAUUAAAAGCCACCACAUCAUCAUCAUGUACAAAUUUUCUGUACAAAAUUUGCCCAUAGCACUACUCCUAUACAUUGUUUUAUCUUCAUUUUGGUCAAAAUCUACGUAUUAAUAUUUUAAUCUUCUCACUAAAUUUAUUAAUAUUUAAUUAUUUUAAUAAUAAUAAAUAAGAUCAUAGAUUAUAAUUCGAAUAAAAUUUGAAUAAAAUUUGUUGAGCGUAAUCUUCGCUCUAUGUGUAGCGUAUUGUUAAACAAAUUUGAAGGUUUUUAGUAUGAUUCUAUUUCACAAUUAUUUCAAUAUAAUUUUCAUUUCAUACAAAAAGUUAAGUAACACAUAUAAAAUAUAUUUUAAACUGAUUUAAUAUUUACAUAAAACAUAAAAGUAAUGAUUUAUUGUCCAAAAUGAUAAAAAUAUAAAAAAAUUUAUUACUGAAAAUAUGAACACAUUAAAAAUCAGAACAAAUUUAAACUUUUUAGAUCAUUAUUCGAGUUGUGCCGUACGAAACCCCAUCUUUUCUAAAACUAAUAAAUCAAUCGAUCAAGUUUUACUAAUUACUAGAAAUAGUAAUUGUACAGAAAAUACAUGUGUUUGAGUGUAAAUAUAUUUAUUGGGCUUUUUUUGUAACUGCCUAAGUUUUUGAAAUUUUUUAUAAAGAUAGUUUUUCCACCUUUCAAUAUUUUUAGAAAUAUUUUUUUUAUAAAUUGUUUACGAAAAUAUAAUUUGCAACUUCUGCAAUCUUGUUUGCAAUACCAUUUUGCAAUGGUUGUAAAUGAUUGUAAAUAAAAAAUUUCAUUUACAAUUUAUGCAACAAAUACUUGCAACUUAUGCAACCUCGUUGCAACACCAUUUUACAAACGAAAAUUUUCAUUUACAACUUAUGCAACCUUCUUUAUAAUACUGAUGUUACAAAUGAGGUUACAAAAAUUGCAAGUCGUGCAAAAAAUCGCAUUAAAAAGAAAAAUCAACUUAACUGUAUUUUUGUGAAUAAUCUGUAAAAAGUUGAUAUCUUUAUAAAUAUUCCUAUAUAGUAACUAUUAAUAAACAAUUAUUGAUAAAAAUACAUGUUAAUGUUGUAAUAAAAUUAUAAUAGAUCAUUAUGGGUAAAAAAAAUUUAAACAAGUAAGUAAAUAUAAAAAAGGAAUAUUUAUAAAUAUACCAACUUUUUAGAAAUUAUUUACAAAAAUAUUGUCAAGUUAAAUUUUUUUUUUAAAAUACGAUUUUUUUUCCAAAUUAUUUACAAAAAUACGACUUGCAACUUCUGCAACCUCAGUUUGCAACUGUUACAAAUGAAGUUGCUUGAGUUGCAAAUGAAAUUUCUCAUUUGCAACUGUUGCAAGUGGUGUGGCAAACGAAGUUGCAUAAGUUGCAAAUGAAAUUUCUCAUUUGCGAUUGUUGCAAACGAAGUUGCAGAGGUUGCAAGUCGUUGCAACUGUUGUCAAAUGUUGUUGUAGAAGUUGCAAAUCGUAUUUUUGUAAAUAAUUUAUAAAAAAUGGUAUUUUUAUAAAUAUUAAAAUUUAUUUUUAUAAAAAAUUUCAAGAGGUUAGGCAGUUAUGAAAAAGAAUUCAUAUAAAAAAUGAUAUAUAGAUAUAUAGAUGGGGGUGGGGGGGGGUUGUGUGUGUGUGGGUGGGGAGAGCUGAGUAUAUUUUGAACUAUUUAAAAGAAUACAAGUUAUGGAGUUAUAAAAUUCAAUUGAAUUUAUAUACGUGGCAUAAAAUGUGAAACAGAACAUUUAAAUAGAAUGGAGAUAAUAUAUUCGACAAAAGAGAAAAAGAAAACGAGAGAGUAUUAUAAUUGAAAUUCUGGUGCCUUGUAGGAUUUAAACUUAUGCCUGUCUAUUUUAUAAUUUUAUUUAAUAAUCUAAUUAUCAUAAUAAUUAAUAUAAUAUAUGUGUAAGAUAUGAUGAUUUUUAAAUUUUAAAUAAAUAAUAAAGAUCUAGAUUUUAAUGAAAUCGGAUGGAUUCGUGGUUUGAAAAUCUUAUGAUAUCAUUAACAGGUCAUAUUAACCAGAUUACAAUCUAAAUGCAGGUCAAUUUCAUAUCUAUUUUGUUACUAUAUAUAGAUAAAAAUCUCCUUUUCUGUAAGUUUUAUAUCAAAAAUUAAUCAGGCAGGAAGAUCGCAAUCAUAUAUGAACGUUUUCAUUGUCUCUUUCUAAACCUGGUAUUGUGUUGUUGUCUUUUGUUUUAUUAUUAUAAGAUUUUACUAGUCAAUUUUAACAACUCAAGACUGCAAUUUAAUUUUCACAGACAGAAACUAAUAAUUCAAUCUUUGACUUGCGUGAUCACGCGAAGAAGCUGAUACUACUAAUUUAAUCAUGCCUCUAUAUUUUGUCCUUAGUUGAAAAAUCAAUUAAAUAAAUUAAACUAUAGUAUUAAACAUUUCAAGAUGUGCUCUCUCUUUUUUUGGAACAGUAAACGAAACUAACUUUUCGUUAAAUUCGUUCGGAUGUUUGUGUUUGAUAAAUUCAGUUUAAUAUUUCAUCGAACUCAAAUGCGAACAACACUUUUUGAUUGACGAACUGAAUCGAACUCUUGAGAUAUUCGAGUCAAUUUUGUUCAUUAAACUCAAACUUGUUCGAUAAUAAACAAGUGUAUUUAUAAUAUUACAUGUGUAUUAUUAUGACUAAUUUUUUCACUAAAUAAAAUUAAAAACUAUCUUAAAAUCUAUAAAAAUAAUAUUGUUAACAUCUUUUUAUGUUCGAUAUGUUAAUGAAUAUUUUAUGUUCAGUUCGAUUGUUAGCGAACUUCAACUUGAACAAGAAAUUUGUCUCAUAAGAUAUUGAAUAUUAUGUAUUUCGUCGAUUCAUUAAAAUUUUGCUCGAAUAUGAAUUUUCCAAGUUCUGUUCGUUUACACGGCUCUGCUCCUUUUGCACUCGGCACCUAAAUUUUCUCAGAGGUCUGCGCAAACUUUCGGAAUAAUUUGUAACCUUUUGUUUUUGUCAUUAUAAAAAAGUUAGCAAAUAGAUCUUAUCACUUGAGAAAAUACAUAUAAACAUAUAUCUUAAGAGAAAAAUUAUAAUAAAUUGGUUUUAAAUCAUAAUUUCACCCAUUUCUUAUUCCUUGAUAUCGGUCAAUUUCAAAAAAAAAAAAAAAGAAUUAUAAAAAAAUUAUGAUUAAUUCAUUUUAAUUUGUAAUCUUACUCAUUCCUAGUUCCUUGAAAGCUAUGGUCAACAGUCAACACAAAUAAAGAAGACAUAUAUUCUGGACAGUUCCUUUAAUGUACGAUAUGAAGCAAAAAACAUCCUAAUUAAUAUUUAGAAAUAGGUUCAUAUUCUUCAGAAUUGUAAUUAUCAUAUGGCUGUAGAGCAACACUACAAAGUGGAAGAAACCACUUGGACAUGGACUAUGAGAAUCAGAUGUUUAAAAUAUUAAAGCACGCUCGAAUGAUCAAAUCUCUCUAAUAUGUACCUAGUGUUUAUAACAAUAUCUGUAUGUGUCAAUUUCAGAAUCUCUCUCUCUUCCUAAUAAUUUUCAUAAUACUAUUAGUACGUAAUAAGGUCAACUUCAAGCAACUUCGAGUGGUAUAGAGACUUGAAAUUAAGGCUUCGAUUAUUCUCUUCCACUUCCGCAAUUAAUCACUAUAUAUCAACUGUUCUGUUUAUUGAUUGAUUAGCAAAUAGUUAUCAAGAAUCAGCAAUAAGAAAUUGUUUAACAUAAAAUUUAUUUAUUUGCACAACUAAUGAUCCCUUAUCGAAUACAUGAUCUACCUCUGAUUCGGAUAGGGGCAGAAAUGUAAAAAUAUGAUCAUCUUUCAUAUUGCUCUAUUAUGCUCUGAUAAGUAUUGAUGCGUUCCCAAACUCUGAUCUCAAAUUUCCUUCUCGAAUAAUAUAUAACUAAUUUUAAUUGGAUGACUCAUAUGUAUAUAGAUAUUUCAUUGUUAUUAGUGUGAACUGAACUAAUUAUAUAUUAUCAAUUAAUUUGAGAAAAAAAAUAUAAACAUUUUUUAAAAGGGUUAAUUAUCAACUAGAUCACUUAUUACGUUAAAAAAUAUCAAGUGAGUCACUAAGAAAUUUUUGGUCUCAUUCGAAUCACUAAAGUCAUAAAAAAUAUCAAAUUGAUACCUCUAAUAUCUUUUCGAGUAGUAAACUUUGGGGCCGUUUGGCUGGGCUUAAAAGAAGCGACUUAUUGCUUAAAGUAAAGAAGUGGAUUAUAAGUGAUAAGUUGGUUUGGACUUAUAAGCUAUUUAAGUGUUUGGAUAAAUUCAUUAAAAUUCACGACUUAUUAGGUAUAAAAAUUGCUAAAAUAAUAAUAAAAUAUCAUAAACUAUCUUUUAGAAUGAUCCUACACAUUGUUGUGAAAUUAAAUUUCGAAAAAAAAAAUAAGUCAAGAAAAAAAGCUAGCAUUUCUAACUUCCAAAAUUUCAGCUUAUAAGUCGCCAGAAGUGCUUCUAACUUCUUUACACAAACACUCCGCAAGAAGUAGAAGUUGGCUUAUAAGCUAGAAGUCGGCUUAAAAGCCGUAGCCAAACACCACCUUUAUAUUUCAUUGAGUUUCACACAUUUUUCUUAGCUGUUAGUAUAAUCAAAUGAAAGGUUAUGAAUUCUAGCAUUUACGAUAAUAUAUUUAGAUUUUAAAAAAUUCAUUUAGUAUUUAUUUGAUAUAAAUUAAACAAAAUAAUUGUAAAAUUAAAAAUAAAUAGUAAAUAAAUUUCUUAAAAUAUGAAUAUAUUAUCAUAAAUAAUAGAAUUCAUAACCUUUCAUUUGAUUAUACUAACAGCUAAGAAAAAUGUGUGAAACUCAAUGAAAAAUAAAUGUUACUCCUUGAAAAGAUAUUAGAGGUAUUUAUUUGAUAUUUUUGAUGACUUUAGUGAUUCAAAUGAGACCAAAAAUUUCCCAGUGACCCACUUGAUAUUUUCUAGCGUAAUAAGUGAUCUAAUUGAUAAUUAACCCCAUUUUCAAAUAUCUAAUAUUUUCUGUUAUAAUAUAUGAAACGCGUUCAAAAGAGAACCAAACAAUUAUAAACUAAUCAUAUUCUUCUGUGAUCUAUAUACGUAUACACGCGCCAGUUGAGGCCAUAACAAGCGCAUGUACAAAUUCUUCGUGCAUUAUGAUUACUGGUAAGUGGUAAUCCUAUCCACUAAUAAUUUGUUCCUUUCAGAUAUGUACUUAGCCGUGCUCUCUCUCACUCUGUAUUAGUGCCUAUAUUUAUAAACGUCAAGCGAGGUCCAUAAAUAUUACAGGAAUCGUAUGUCUCAUCAGAUGACUAAUAGCAAAUGAAACUACUUUACGACUGUUACAAUUAAAAAGGAAAAAGAAAGCUUGUUUAGCUUAUCCGGACCAAUAAAUUAUUGCAUGAGCCAAUGAUUAGUGAUAUCAUCCUAGUUAAAUAAAGUGAUUAAGACUACUUAAUCCCAAUUAUCAUCCCUCUUGCAUCUGUCUACACGUACUCCUGAAUUGGACAAAAUCUCCAACAACGAGCAUCUAAGCAACUUGUUUCUAUUUUAACUCACCAAUAAGCUAAACCAACUCAGUUCUACACAGUUUAAACUUUAAAAAGCUAUUAGAGACUUAACUAAGCUAGGAUUUAGAAAGAAACCAUUAGUUAAAGUGCAGAAAAAUAUAGACACAUAUGUUCAAAUAUAGUAAUCCUAUAAGAUCCAUUUAGAUCUUCCUAACACCUUAAUAUUUUAGAUUAAUUGAUUUUCAACAUAAUUCUCAACAUAAUAUCAUAGCUCAAGCUUCACGGAGGUUUCAAGUUCGACUCUCCAUCACUUGUCCCAAAGAUGGGCGCCUCGGGUUCUCAACAUUAUAACAAGAUAAUCUGUCAAUCAGAGAGUAUAAAGUGUAGAGAGGUCACUACGAGAGUACAAGUCCACAACAAUGACAUGUGGCGUAUACAGAUACUUUGCUUUUCCUCGCAACUCGUACGAGUUGGGAGUUGCUAUAUAAAGCCUCUAAAGCCAGUUAGUUUUGCUAAAAUAUCAGAGUUCUCAGUAGCACAAAGGGAACACCCAGUACGUGUUGUACUUUUGUGUUCUGCGUUCCACAUAUUCUCUGCGAUCAGUUUCAAGAAGAAGAAUAUUUAUAUGCAAGUAUUAGACUUAUUUGUUAAGUUUGUUUAUUAUUUAAUACGAUAUUUAUUCUUUCUUUCACUUGUUGACUGGUAUUGAUUAGUUAAGUAUUUACAGAAAAUGACAAUGUCCAUGUUUACCUGCAAACCAACUCACCCUUUUCUCCAAAUUCAAGCCGGCAACUCUCGACUCAGUUCUAGGCUACGGCCAUCUAAAGACAAGGUGGUGGUGGUUAUGGGAGCAACGGGUACUGGCAAGUCGAAACUCUCAGUCGAUCUCGCUACUCAGUUUAAUGGGGAGGUGGUUAAUGCGGAUAAAAUGCAAGUUUAUGAAGGUCUGGACGUGAUUACAAACAAAAUUACGGCUGAAGAGAGUUGUGGUGUGCCACACCACCUCUUGGGGAUAAAGCAUCCUUCUGCAGACUUUACAUGCACAGAUUUUUCUAACAUGGCCUCCUCCACGGUGGCUUCUAUUAUAGAUCAAAAGAAACUUCCUAUCAUUGCUGGAGGCUCAAAUUCUUACAUUGAAUUUCUCAUUGACAAUGAAGCAGCAGGAUUCCGAUCAAAGUAUGAUUGUUGUUACCUUUGGGUGGAUGUUUCGAUGACAGUGCUCCAUCAAAUUAUAUCAGACCGUGCUGAUCGGAUGGUUGAGAAGGGGAUGGUGGAUGAGGCAAGGCAAAUGUUCAGCCCGAAUGCUGAUUAUUCAACUGGCAUAAGGAGGGCCAUUGGUGUGCCCGAGUUUGAUUACUACUUCAGACUCGAGCCACAUGUGAAUGAAGAAACUCGAGCAAAGCUGCUGCAAGAAGCUAUAUAUGAAGUGAAGAUCAACAGUUGCAAAUUGGCUUGUCGCCAGCAAGAUAAAAUUUUACGGCUGAUGCAUGACAAGGGAUGGGAUAUUCAAAGGCUAGAUGCAACUGAUGCUUUCUUAAAGUAUGGCAAGGAGUCCAAUAAGGCAUGGAAGGAGCUGGUGCUAAAACCUAGCAAGGCAAUCGUUAGUCAAUUUCUUAAGAGUUCUGACCCUAAGUUGCAUAAUAAUGGAACAACAUUGAAAGCCAUGGUCACUUCAACUCGAUAAUAGAAGCGCUGUGUGUUCAAAAUGCAGCAAUGGCAGAAUUUUGGCUCUCUGGACAACUUACUCUGCAGUUAUCAUGCUAUAAUGUUUAUUUAUAGUCUAAUACAUUUCUGAGGAACUCAUGGGUAUGUGAACCUCUUGAGGAUUCCUCAAAGAUACCUGUCCUACUACAUGCAUAUAUAGAAGAGUCAUGCACAAGCUAAACCCUAGUAUGUUAGCUUGCUGUCACUUCAGUAUGGCUGGACAAUGAAUUUCAUAGAUGGUACAGCUAUGGAACACUCUCGAGGGAAAUAAUGUACUAAGACAGUGACCACUGUUCAGAAAGUCGGAGAUGAGCAUAGAAUAAAACUUCUUCUUGAGUCACUAUCUUGUCUCUUCCUAGACUAGUUAUGGUCUUUGUCCACGUAUAAUACUAUUCAUAGCAUGUUUGUCGUAUAUAACUACAAUUUUAAUGCCUAAAAAUAAGUAACAAAAAGAGUAAAAGAGUUGCAACACACAAGAAGUCAUCUCUUCUGUUCAGAGGAAAAAGGACAAAAGGUCAUGACCAAUGAUAGUUCAUCAUUACUAGUAUCAAGAAAAAUGUGAUGUUUAAAUCUGCAUAAAACCAAACAUUUGAAGAGAGUUGAAUCUGAACUUCCAUACAGAGAAUCAGCGAUACAGAAAUGGACUUACAGAUCCUAGACAUAAUCAGACGUUAAGUAAAACUAUUAAUCCCUCCAUGAAAGAUACUUCUUACCCUAUCAGCCGGCCUGGGCAUGUAUAAGCGACGUUGCAAGAAGGAUCGGUUAUAACAGUGUACCUGUGGGCAGGUUUGGAAAGGAAGACGGGCAAGUAAACCAGCAAGUUGCAGACACAUACACUGUCUAUUGCUCGUACCCAGUGGCAACAUUCAUGUUCGACAGGCGUUUGACGGUGCCCCGGGUGCCUGUGUCUGUGUCGAUGUCUGUGCGAUGGUGGAGGAGAUUCGGGUGAAGGGGACGGACUAUCUAGUGACAGCGGGGUUGGAGGAGGGAUUGUAGAAAAUGGCAUCAUUGAACACGCACUAGAUGCCACUGCAAUCUGAGCAUCACACAAGGGAGUAGGUCGUAUAGGAGCUAAAGGUGGCCCAGGUGUUUGCCUUCUAGGAAGGCACUCAAUCUUGGGGUUCAUAACCAGGAAUAAUGAAAAUAUUGCUAACUUAAAUUUACAAACUCUGUAGUCCAUGCUUACUACUAUUCUCAGCAGUUUCGAAGGUUAUCCUUCUAAUUAUAUACUAAUGUUAUAUUACAGGCUAGACCACAAGACAUGUGUGGUUGUAUCUAAUUAGGUAUUCUAGCAGGUUGAUAAAAUAGUAAAAAAGAACCAACAGGGUAGGGAAAGUGUGAUAGCUAAUUGUUUACAGAGAGAAUUAGGUAUGAAUUGGUUUAGAAAUUUCAUUUAAAUUGUGUGAGGGAAUAUCUGCUGUUUGAUGCGCAGGUGGUUGAAGUGCAACCUUUUUCCAGCCUCAGCUUAAUUGAAAAGAUUUAACCUUUUUAUUAGGCUUAAAACAACCCAAAAGUGAAAUUCAAAUUCGCAAGACUGGCAACAGAUUUUAAGUUUAUGUAAACUGAAAAAAAAAAAAGUUAGGGCUUUUUUCAGAAAUACCCAAGUUGCAAAUUUUAUUUUCAAAUAUACGCUGCAACCUCAUUUGCAACGUUGUUUGCAACGCCAGUAAACUGAAAAUCAACUCUAAAUCAACUGUGUUGCAACCUCAGUUGCAACUUCGACCGUAUUUUUGAAAAUAAGUUUGAAAACACGGGUAUUUUUGCAAAUUUCCCUAUUAGUUAUUAUGAGCAUGCUAGUUUCAAAUCAAUGACACUGAAGCAUAACAUAAGCACUUCACUAACCUCUCACUGUAUUUCUAACAGUGUCUUCUCUGUCACAUAGAGUUGAACGAUCUAAAUUACUUCCUAUCAAGUCUCAAUCCCUGUCAAACUUCUAUCAGACCCAACUAGUGAACUAACCUUGUUCUAAAGUUUCUGCCAGAAACAUACGCACAGGCUAAGCACUAUGUCUAGAUAAGAAAUAACUAAUGACGAUAUACUCAACUCCAAUCAUCUUUACAGGGAGACGUAAAAUUAGAUGAUCAAUCAUGAUGGUUACAUAAUGUCUCUGAGUGUUGUUUAGUAAGCAAAAUAGAGUGUUUCUGGUGCAUAUUCUUUUCCAGCAUUUAAUACCCACGAAGCCACCCCAUGUGAAUGGUCCAACAACACAGUUUUACAAUAAACAGCAAAUGAACAGAUCGAGGUAUUUCACGAAUCAACAUUAAAACCUUCUUACCUGAUAAAUCAUCGUAGUAACUUGCAUUUGAUAGCUGAAAAAAGCAUUGCCCCUGCCGUGACUUUCUUAGUUGACACGCUGACAGGUUGAGGUGAUUCAGAAAAUCAUCAAGAAACCAUUUGGUUUGAGAUACAGGUUUGCUCUAAUACUGUCAGUAUAAGGCUGCACAUGACAAUACUUCAAGUACUGAAUUUAGAAACAAACAUUACCAUAAGUUGCUAAUAAAAAAAUCACACACCUAUAUGCAGAUAAGAAUAGAUCCCCAACUUCAUUCACUAAUAACCCAUACAGAAUAUAGUCAGGGUCCUAUACCUUUUCUAAGAGUCGAACAUAUGUGCAGUAAACUGCAAUAAUGAAGUCACUCCUUGAAGCUAUGACCUAAUAAUAUACUUAUUAUCACUGUGGUUCAGAAAAUCAAGUGGUAAACUGCAUUUCUUAAUCAGCAAAAGAAAACACCAAAUGACCAAAACAUGGUUCACUGAAGAUGCGGUUUACCAAAGAAAAUAUACCAAACCACUACAUUAACAUAUAAAUCUAAAUAUCAAAAUACAGUGAUAGAUGAAAUUAUACAGCUAAGUACUGUCCCAGAAAUUUGUUUGUUUUACAAGUGACCUUAAAAAAAACACGCAUUGUAUUGUAUCAGGCUAUCUGCGUGCGUUAGGGCCAAACACCCAAAUAUAAUGCAAUUAUACUUGUGAAAAUAUCAGCUUAGUGUUUACUUAUAUACAUUUGCAUGUGUGGGUAGGGUUUUUCGUGUUUUUUUUUUUUUGGGGGGGGGGGUUUACGAGUAAGUAACCUCGUUACAACCAUAGAUCAAUGUAUUUCAGAAAGCACAAAAUGUGCAAAGUUGUUAGUGAUAAAUUAUAUAUCUAAAUCUUUUAUAUGUUGAGGCCUAUAUAUAUAAAAACCUUACAUGUAUAUUAGUAGCUCGCUAUCUUGAAGUUUGAUCUGAUACAACUAUUUAAAUUUAAACACAACAAUGCGUAAUAUUCUUUAAAGAAUAUAUCUCAUCAAACAUUAAGUAAUUUGUGUUUACCUAUAUCUAAACUACCUUUCAAAAUAUUAGCUUUCUACACAAUCCAAACUGAGGCUUCAUCAAACACGGCUCUGUGAAGUUUAAACACACAGCUAACCAGGUUGCCUCUGCAGAGAAAUGAAAUUUAUAGAUUGGUCAUAUAAUAUGGUCAAACAUUAAAUCCAGACUAACUCUCAGAAUAGAUAUUUUACACAAAUUCAAUGUGAAAAGCCUACAUGGGCCACAUCAUGAAUAUCAAAGGCAAUUAAUCACUGUUUUUAACGCUAUUCAUCGCAAUAUAUAUAUUAGGGAACACAAUUUUAAUUACAUAUCAUAUAAAAUUACAAUAAUAUUUUGACAAUCUCUCUGCAAAUAGAGUAAAAUGUAAAUUGACUUCGGCAAAAAGCAUUCAACAAAGUACAAACGAUAAGCUAAAGUUUGACUUGGUAAUGGAAAGGACUUGGAGAAUGUGGGAGUAAAACUAUCAAUUACUCUAAGACNCAUAUAUAUAUAUAUAUAUAUAUAUAUAUAUAUAUAUAUAUAUAUAUAUAUAUAGGCAAUUGCUCAAAUGGAAACCACUAGAAUAAAAACUAAAAUGGAAACAAAGAGAAACUAUACCUAAAUGACCUCACCCACCCCCUAUAUGUCAUCACCCAUCGAGGGCCCACCCUCACCCCCACUCAAUCCACCCCGAGCCCUCUAGGGCCUCGCCAAGGCUCCUCACAGGCCCUUGACAGGCUCCAGACAGUCUUACAGAGCCAAACCUUGGCCUCACCAUGGUCCCAUUAGGCCCCGACCCGGCCUAAUUAGGCCCCACUUAGACCCCGUCUAUGCCCAUCUCAGGGUCCAUCCCCGGUCCCAAAACCCGCAUCAUUCUACUUAAUCGCAUUGGUUUCUAUUCUAGUAGUUUAUAUAUAUAGGAAUAGGAUCAAAUAAAAACUUUUUUAAGUUACAAACUUACAAACUUUUUUUAUUCUUUAAUCCUUAGUUAUAGAAAGUAUCCAUGUUGAAAAUUAUUGAAAAAACAUUACAAUAUUUAAAAAUAACACAUAAAUAAAUCGUGCAUUCAGCACAUUUGUAACUGGAGUUCAACAUCGGGGGUAGAACACUAAUUAUCAUUGUGUUGAAUAUAUUUAUAGAGAUGCUUAAACUAUACCUCUAGGGUUUGGUUAGGGUCUAGAAACAUAAAUAUUGGUUAUAUAAUACGUUUAACUUAGUUCUUACAUUGAAAAAUUAGUUUAUGUACUUCUCCAACACAAUUUCUACCGAUGUUCAACCAAAUAUGUUAAAGAAUGUUGAACUCAAAUUAUAUAAGUGUUGAAGGCAUAGUUUAAUUAUAUAUUUACUAAUGAAAUAGUGAUGUAUUUUCAAUUAUUUUCAACAUGGAUACCUUAUAUAGCUAAUAAUUAACAUUUAUUAUUCAUCCACCAAUCAAAAUUUACUAUUACCAUGAAAGUUAGUGACUAUUGUGUGCCCUUGGGCACACCACAGAAAAUCCCACAUAUAUAGUGCCAGUAAAUGAGCCAGUACGGAUAUAAAUAUACGGAGUCGGAUAAUUUAUAUUUUUGGGAAUAAGUAAUCACAACAAAAUCAAUAUCCUUCACUUACUGAUUAAAAUAUAUAUAAUGCCGGUAUANGUAGGGAAAUUGUACCAGUAAUGACAUAGUCCCCAGUAAGUAAUUUUGUUCUUCUCUGCAAGCUGCUAAUUAAAAAAAAAAAUUCAUCAAAAGUAAACUAAGAGGAGAAACAAAGAACAGGAAAAAUGUUCAUCAUUAAAAUGUACAGUAUAAUACAUACAUAUGAGCAAUUACGAAUGCAGACAGUCAAGGUAAUGUCCUACACCAAGCACAGUGCCGCAAAAUAAGCAAGAUCUUACAAUCUCAUCGUUGUGAGUUGACUAUACAGUGUUUAGUUCCACAGAUUAGGGCUUCACAUUCUGACACCUUACAGUUGCAGAGUGGCAAUUACAUAUUAACCCAUGGAAGAAAAAAUUGGCAACCUAGAGAGCAAAACUAGAACCUCAUUUACAAAUUUGAAGAGAUAAGAACAUUAUUGUGUACUUGAUAAUAUAAGAGACUUGUAAGUUGUUGAAAAGUGAAAACUAAUACUUACCAAGAUAAAACAAUAAUCGAGACUACUAGAUGCAGACAGACUGACAAAUAUGUAUCAGGUUACCCUCAGACUAUGCAAUUACAUUCAGAAUUUGUUAAAAUUAUAUCUAUACUGGGUAAACUUAUACUGUGUGAACCAAUUCCCAGAUACGGUUUAACAAAUAUAAUAGAGAGGAGAGGACCUUUUUUCUUUGUGCGAGUGUUUGUGUGACAAUCACAAAUUUUGUAUCCAGGACAGUGUGUUUACACAAUAUCAUAUUUCAUGUAAUAAAAAAGGGAUGAUAAUAGACCAAUCACCAGUUUGGUCCGAAUUACCGGUAUGCAGGACAGGAUACCGAUUUUCAGAACACCGUGGCAGUUCGCAAUCGUUUGAACCGGAACAUCGGUAUUGAUUUCAUCUGAUUUGCAAUUUAAACUCAUUUGAGAAUUUACAUAACUCAUGGUUUGGUUCUAAUAUCUUUGGUUAUGGUCUUUGCUCAAAAUGUAACAAAACUUCGUAUCAUGUUUGCACAUAUGAAAGAAAAGCUAGCAACUUCAGACACAAUGAUAUUGUUUUCAAUCAUGUCAGUUUAAUUCCCCAUCCCUUUUUGCUACCAACUCCAUGUCUUUUUGUAUGGCUUCUCUUUGCGCCCUUAACUGCUCUGCUCUCUUUCGGUGUCCCUCAUCCAACAACUCCACAAACUUAUCUUUGAUCUCCAGCAGUGGAUCUCGGUCAAUUAGCUGGUCAUCCUUGUAAGCUUCCCUAAGCAUAGCUGUCUUAAUUCCCCCCUUCAACGACAUAUAAAAUAUUCCCGAAUGUCUUGUGAAUGCCGUCGAAAAUGCAUUCGAAAACCUAUACUCUUCGCAAAAUUUUCCCAAUAUUGGGACAGGAAUCCUCUUAUAAAGAGACAGCGAAAGCAGCUCAUGAAAAACCCCAACCGUCCUCUUCUCCAUUUCUCGCGACGCUUGAUCCAAAUUCGAUGCAUCUUCAUACGGCGAUAUAUACGGCAGCUCCAUCCAAUCCCUAAUCCACUCUCUCAUCUCUUUCUUCAAAAAAAACCCCGAUGGGAGCUUCACAUCAAAAGCCGGCCUAACUCUUAUCCCCAUCAAACUCUCCUCCUCCUUCGCCUUCCUCUCUAUCACCGACUCCGCAAACUCCUCAUUCCACGACACCAACUCCAAAAACAACUUCCCCUCCCCCGAACUCCCCACCAACCUAAAAUACUCCGGAUACUUCGGCACCAAACUCACCAACAAAUCAUUCGGAAACCCAAACUCCCUCUUCACAUGCACCAAUUUAUCCGCACUAACCACCCUAUCCUUCGCCAUCAUCAACAACUUACACAAUUUCCCCACCACAACCCUCUCAUUCUCCCCCCUAAUCCUCUCCUCCUCCUCCAAAAACCUCCUCAACCCUAAACUCGCCCGAACAAACGGAACCGCCUCCGCCUUCGGCCUAAUCCUAUCCAAAUACAAUUCAAACAAACUAGGGUUCCUAUCCAUAAACGUCUUAAUCCUAACCGGCAAUCUCAGCCUUUCGCGACGCUUCUCGAGAUACCGAAGGGGAAUAACUUGCCCUGGUUCAUUUAACACCUCUUUUACGACACGAGCACAUAGUCUAUAGUGUUUGUCAUUAUCAAUUGCUUGGUCUAGUUUAUGAUCUUUACGCCAAGCUACUUUAAGACUUGAAAUUGAAGCAGUGAAUUGAAACCAAACCCUAACCCUAGAAAUUGUGCUAUUGUGAUUAGUGUUGAGUAAAGAUGAUAGAGUGGAGUGAUUAAACAUACCUGAUUUGUGUGUGUGUGUGUUUAUGAAUUGGAGUGUGUGUUUGCAAUGGAGUGAUUGUUGUGAGAGCUUGGUCUGUUGCAGGGCUUUUCAAACUUCUCCCGGGAAAUGUGAAUGACGAGAUUACAAUCAUUUUUUUUAAUUUUUUUAUUUUUAUAAUUUUAUGUCCUUUUAGAUUUUUUUUUAUAAAAGUUUCAAAUAUAUAGUCAUCAAUCAUCAAUCAUCAAUCAAUCAUCAUCAAUCAUCAAUAUAUAUAUUAUAUACUUAGAGUUAAGUUCUAUGGAGUACAUAAAAACAUUGGAGUAUUGGAGUACAAAUCAUAAUUUUUUAGUUUGAUCCUAUAUAAUAUCUUUGAUUAUCUAAAUUUUGAUAUAAUCUAUCAUUUAUAAGUUGUCUUUCACAUAAUUGUCAAUUAAUCAUUAAUAUCUUUCAACUUGAACAAGUAUUAAGAUUAUUGUUCUGCUUAUUAGUUAUACUGCAGAACAUAGAGUCCUAUGAUUUAUAAAAGUAAUUAUUCUACCAUUUGAUCACGAUGUUUAUGUUGCAGAACAUAAUGUGCAGGUUGUCAAAUAUUUACAAAUAUUAAUGGACAAAAAAAUUGAAAUUUAGAUGACUGGAUUACAUUUUAUCAAACUUUGUACUCCAAUACUCCAUUUUUUUUUGUACUCCAUAGAACUUAACUCUAUAUACUUAUAUAUAAUAAACGUAAGGGAGAUAAUUUGGUCGCAUGGUCCUAUGUUCCAAAAACUUAUCAUCCGUUGGAUCGUAUGUUGAACAAAUAAGCACCGUUAGAUUAGAACAAAAUUAAAUUAUGUUCUACAAGGAAACUGAUAUCUACUUAGCAUGUUUAUAAUUCCUUUUUCGAAUCCAAAACAAAUUCUGUCUUUCAUGUGUUUUUGAUUUUUUUAAUCCAAAAUAAAUAUUUCCUACAAAUUUUAAUUAUAGAAUCGUAUAAAUCACACCGUCAAAAAAUUAUUUUUAUCCAUCGGAUCCUAUAUUGAACAAAUAAGCACCGUUAGAUUAGAACAAAAUUAAAUUCUGUUUCAUAAGACAACUGAUAUCUACUUGCAUGUUUAUAAUUUCUUUUCUGAAUCCAAAACAAAUUCUGUAUUUCACGUGUUCAUGAUUUUUUUAAUCCAAAAUAAAUAUUUUCUACCAAUUUUAUCUGUAGAAUCAUAUAAAUCGCACCGUCACAAAAUUAUUUUUAUCUAAUAUAUUUCAAAAUUAAUAAGCCCGAUUUAUGUGAGGAACGAAUACAAAAACUUUUUCUUAAUCCAAAGCAAAUUCUACCAUCUUAUUUCAUGUUUAUGAUUCAUCUUCUUAAUUCAAAACAAAUCGUGUUUAUCAAUUUUAAUCUCGAACCACAAAAAUUUUUAGAAAAAUAUUUAAAUCACAUUAUAAUAAUUUUAAUAUAAAAUACAUUUAUAAAUAUAAUCUAAUAGGAGUUGGCGUCACAUAUUCUACUUAAAAUAAUUUAAAAUUUGAUAGAAAGAAUUUAAUACGUUGGCAUGAUACAUACAAUUUUAAUUUAUUAUUUAUAAAUUAAUUUUUUUCACACCAUUUAAAAUAUAUUUAAAAAGUUUAUAAAUAAUUAAAAAGCUCGCGUGCCUUGCACGGGCUAUAAGCUAUUAUAUACUUAUAUAUAAUAAGCAUAAGGGAGAUAAUUUGGUCGCAUGAUCACAUUGUCCAAAAUCUUAUCAUCCGUUGGAUCGUAUAUUGAACAAAUAAGCACCGUUAGAUCAGAACAAAAUUAACUUCUAAUUCUAAAAGGCAACUGAUAUCUACUUGCAUGUUUAUAAUUCCUUUUCUGAAUCCAAAACAAAUUCUGUCUUUCACAUGUUUAUGACUUUUUUAAUCCAAAAUACAUAUUUUCUACCAGUUUUAAUUGUAGAAUCAUAUAAAUCGCACCGUCAUAAAAUUAUUUUUAUCUAAUAUAUUUUAAAAUUAAUAAGACGGAUAUUUUAAUCCAAAAUAAAUAUUUCCUACCAGUUUUAAUUGUAGAAUCAUAUAAAUCGCACUGUCACAAAAUUAUUUUUAUCUAAUAUAUUUUAAAAUUAGUAAGCCAAAUUUAAAUCAUAUUAUAAUAAUUUUAAUAUAAAAUACAUUUAUAAAUAUAAUCUAAUGGAAGUUGACGUCACAUAUUCUACUCAAUAUAUAUUAAAAUUUGUUAAAAAAAUUUUAAUACUUUGGCAUGAUACAUAAGAGAAAAGAAAUGGCUUGAUUACAAUAAUUUAUUUGAAGCUAUUAAUGGCUAUUUUAUACUGCAUCGUCACUUUCGGAUGAUCCAACGUGUGACCAGUUUUUUUUUACAGAAACAAGUCUGAAAAGUAGAACCUAUAUAUUUUUACAAUAAUUCUGACUUACAAACAAAUCAUAAUUUCAAAUUUUAUUUAAUUGAAAUUUUUUAUUUUUUAUUUAUAAAUUAAAUUCUUUCACACUAUUUACAAUAUAAUUAAAAAGCUUAUAAAUAAUUAAAAAACUCCCGUGCCUUGCACGGGCUAUAAGCUAGUAUAUAUAAAGGAAGAUGCGGGCGUGUCUAGAAAUGUCCGAUUCAGUCUUCUGAAUUUUCUUAAAUUUCGGAUAGAAAAUAUAGUUAUAAUUCAAAAAAUCAGGUUUAAGAAUUCUAAAGGUAAUACAAUUCUUUUCUUAUUGAAUUCUAAAGAUGAUACCAUUCUUUUCUUUUUUAUUUAGUAUUUUUUAUUGAAUUCUAAAAAUGAUACAAUUCUUUCUUUGUCAAAAAAAAUGAUACAAUUCUUUUCUUAUUUAGUAAUCCUAAAAGAAAUAGGAUUAUAUUUAAAAAAUCAGGUUCAAGGAUUCCAAGCGUCCAUACAAUUUUUUUCUUUUUGGAUUCCAAAAGUAAUACAAUUCUUUUAUUAUUUAGGAAUACUAAAAGGAGUAGGAUUAUAUAUAUUCAAACUAACAAUAAUAGAUAAAUUAUAAUUUAUAUUUAAGAUUUUUGGAUUCUAAAGAUAAUACAAUUCUUUUAUUAUUUAGGAAUACUAAAAGAAGUAGGAUUAUAUUUAUUCAAACUAAUAAUAAUAUGUAAAAUAUAAUUUAUAUUUAAGAUUUUUAAGGUAAUAUGUACAAUUCUUAUUUUCUAUAAGAUAUAUCGAAGAUAUAUUCGAAAUUUAUAUUAUAAAAUUUUAUUUUUGAUAAGAUAUAUAGAAGAAUAAUCUAAUACUCAACUAUGUUUAAGAGUCUAAAUAGUAGACACAAAUAAUAAAUUAGAGAACAUGAUAUGUUCGAAUCAUAAAAUUUAUUAACUCAACGUGUCUAGAAUUAUUGAAUUUAGUCUUAUCAUUUUCUUAAUUAAAUUUCAAAUUGAAAAUAAAAUUAUAACUUAAAAAUCAGGUUGAAAAAUACAAUUAUUAUUUUCAAAAGUUAUAAAACUUAUAGUCUUAUUUUAUUAAAAAAAUUAAAAUCAUAUAUCUAACAAAUAAUUUUCUUAAAUUUUGAAUGAAAAAUAAAAUUAAAAAUUAAAAAUAAGGUUCAAGGGUCGCAAAGGAAAUACAAUUCUUUUUCUUAUUCAAGAUUCGUAAAAAGAGUAUGAUUUUAUUUAUUUAAUAUAACAAUCAUUGAAAAAAUACAAUAAAAACAUAAUUCUUAUUUUCGAAAGUUAUAAAUUAUAGUCUUAUUUUAUUAAUUCUAUUCAAAUUAUAUAUAUAUAAAUAAUUUUCUUAAAUUUAGAGUAGAAAAUAAAAUUAAGAAUAUAGAAAAUAUGAGUAUAAUCUAAAAAUCAGGUUCAAGUAUUGUAUAGAUAAAAGGAUUGCAAAAAUAGUACAAUUCCUUAUUUAUUUAAAAAUCAUAAAAUAGUAGGAUCCUAUUUAUUCAAAAUAACAAUUAUUUAACAAAUAUAAUUAAAAAAAUAAUUCUUAUUUUUAAAAAUUAUAAAUUUUAUAAUCUUAUAAUCUUAUGUUAUUAGUUUUUCUCAAAUCAUAUAUCUAAAAAAUAAAAAUCAGCAUCUUCCCGAAUAUCAAAUUGUCUAUUCAUAAACUCACGUCGUUCCAAAAAGAUCAAUAACAUAGCAACUCUAUCAUGAAAACAUCUUUGAGAUCGUCGCAACGUCAUUCAAACAGUAUGCAUACAUAUAGCAACUCUAUCAUGAAAACAUCUUUGAGAUCGUCGCAACCUCAUUCAAACAGUAUGCAUACAUAACUCACAACCAAUCUCAAUAAAUAAGAUAGCAACUCUAUCAUGAAAACAUCUUUGAGAUCGUCGCAACCUCAUUCAAAUACUAUGCAUACAUAACUUACAACCAAUCUCAAUAAAAGUUGGAUUCAGUCGUAUAAUUUUCUUGAAUUUCGAAUAGAAAGUAAAAUUAUAAUUUAAAAAAUCAAGUUCAAGUAUAUUAAAGAUAAUACAAUUCUUUUUUUUAUUGGAUUCUAAAAAUAAGAAAAUUCUUUUCUCAUACUUUUAUUAAAUUUGAGAUAGAAAAUAUAAUUAUAAUUUAAAAAAUCAAGUUCAAGGAUUCCAAAAGUUAAUACAAUUACAGUUCUUUUCUUAUUUAGGAAUCCUAAAAGGAAAAAAAUUAUAUUUAUUUAAACUAACAAUCAUAGAUAAAAUAAAAUUUAUAUUUAAGAUUUGUAAGGAAAUACGUAUAAUUUUUAUUUUCGAUUUAGUUUUAUAAUUGUUUUAAAUUUCAAAUAGAAAAUAAAGGAUUGUAAAGAUGAUAAUCAUUAAAAAACUAAUAGCAAAAAAAAAUAGAACUAUAAAAGAAUAUUAAUUUUUAACUAAUAAAUAGGAAACAUAAAAUAAAAAUAAUUAACAAAUAAAAUAAGAUAUAUAAAAUAGGAAUCAUAUAUUGAUUUUAUGAUGAUGCAAAUGUUUCUUGAUUAGUAUUGUGUUUGACGGGCACGGGAGGCGGCCCAAACUAAUUUUUAUCUAAAUAAUAAUAAAUUUUCUAUUAAUAUUAUGUUUGACGGGAAAGUGGGUAGAAUAAAGUGGCUAAAAUAAAAUUUUAUCUAUGUUAUAAUAUAUUUUUUCGUCAUAACGGGACCACGGUCCAAAAUAAUUUUUAUCUAGUUAUAAUCUCUAAUUUUAUCAUAAUUAGAAUAAUUUUUAUUAGUAUUGUGUUUGACAGUAAGGAAACGAAUAUCUAAAUUAUAAUACUUUGUUAUUAGUAUUGUGUUUGACAAGAGAGCAGCUCACAUUAAUUUUGAUCUAAAUUAUAAUAUUUAAUUUUAUCAUAAAAAUAAUGAUUAUGGAUAAUAUUGUCUUUGACGGGAUGGGGUUCGAAAUAAUUUUUUUAUUAGUAUUGUGUUUGACAUGAUGACCACUUAAACAAUUUUCUAUACCAAUUAUAAUAUUUUUUAUUAGUGAUAUGUUUAACGAGAAGAUGACUCAAAAUAAUUUUUAAUGCUAUUAUAAUAUUGAUUCAUAUCAAAAUUUAUCACGCCGCCGCGAAGCGCGGCUUUUUUCACUAGUUUAUUUUAUAACCGGAAAUCAAAUUUAUCACAUGCGAAAGUAUUAUGUAAAAAAUCAGAAAUAUAGGAUUAUCACAUAUAAAAGUUAAAAAUGUGAUGUCACUGUUCACUAUAAAAAAACGGCUAUUUUAGAUCGCCUAUCGACGGAUAAUUUCGACCGUAUAUGAUUGAAAAUAAAAGUGUCCGAGAAUAGCCAGUCAAAUAUAUUAUAAGCACCUUUUUUUGUUCGAAUUUCCAGUGAAAAAUUGUUUUGGUUAAAAGGACGGUCGAAAAAAAGGGCUAAAUUUUAAAAAAAAUAAAUUAACAGACCUAUAUGAACUAGCAUAGUUUUAGUUUUAUCACGGUGCAAAAUAGAGUUUUCCAAUUAGUAUUUUUUAGCGAUGAAAAAUAGCCGCUUUUUUUUUUUUACAGUGAUCAGUAUAUACUGACAUUAGAGAUAAGAAUAUCUUUAAAGAAAGCAGAUAUCACAAUGUAGAUAUGUUAAUCAUCUUAUAUAUGUGAUAAAUUCUAAAAUUAGCUUAUUAUCAGAUUUUUAAGACAUAUGAAGGUGGAGAAUUCCGAUAUUCAUUCUCAAAGGUUAUCAAAAAUAAAAUAGAUGAUUCAAUGAUAAAGUUGAAAAUAUUAUGAUUUAUGAAAAUUUAUAUGUUCGUUAAAAGACUAAAAUUUAUUAAAAAAAUUGAAAAUUUUAUAAAAAAAUUAUGAAAUUUUAUGUAUAAAUUAUGAACAUGUGUUAUAUCACAAUAUCGAUAAGUGUUGAUUGUUAUACUUUAACCUCUGUUAUAAUUACGAUUUAUUCAAUAACAAACCACAUAAAAAUCUUGUAUGAUUGAUUUAUAAAAUUAUUAUUAAUAUUAUAUGUUUCUAAAAUUUUCUUUUAUUUAAUCUCCUCAUAGAUAAGUGUGUGGAAAAAAACACAUCUUUUGAAAAAUUACUAAGAAAAAGAUAUUUUAUUCUUUUAAGAAGAUAGAAAAACAUGUCUAUUUUGUUUGCCUACCUCAAAUUACAUUAACAAGCACAAAAAUGUCAAGAUUAAAAUCGGGGAGGAUAUAGUAGUAGAUAAGUUUUCUUUCAUGUAAUCCGUUCAAAUAGAAUAUAGAAUUAAGAAAAUUAUUCUAAAAAGAAUAAAAAAAAGUUAUUUGCAAUCAUUUCACAUCUCCCAAUAAAAUAUCGGAGCAUAUGUAGAAAAUAAAAUUUUAAAAAACUCCAACUUUUUCUCCCUUUUAAUGGAAUAUCAUACAAGGAUAAGUAAUAACUACUCCCUACGUCCCAUUUUAGUUGUUACAUUUGGUUUUGUACCGAUCAAAUUGACCAAACUUUGACUAAAAUUUAUUAAUAUUUUAUUAAUUGAGAAAAAUAAAAAAAAUGUCACCGGAAAUAACUUUUGAUCUACUUUAGUAUGUGAUUUUCAGUUUCUAAAAAUAAUGAAAGAGUGACUUAUAAUCUUUGGUCAAAACUUAGUCAAUUUGACCAAUAAAAAUAGAAAUAUGACAACUAAAAUGGGAUGGAGAGAGUAAUAUUUAUAUCGUAUAGUAUUGACAUUUUAAAAAUAUAUUAAAAUGAUCUUAUUAUAUACCUACAUAUAAUAAACGUAAGAUAUAUAAUUUGGUCGCAUAUAUAAUAUGUUAUAAUAAAAUUGUUGUCUUUAGUUAGAUAAUUAGAUUAUAUUGUCUCAGUCAUUUUGAUCGUUAAUGUUUAUCUAGAUACAAUCCUCAACAAAUAACAAUUCUACUCUAACUAAUUUCUCAUAAAUAAACAAAUAAAGAUUUAUACAUAAUUCUCUCCGUCUUGACAUAUAUAUAGCGACCUCGUAUUUAUCUCUCUUCUUAAAUCUUAACAUCGAAACAUCCUAAACUCAAGAAUCAUCUUUAGGGUUUCUGGGUAAGUGUCUAUCCUAGGUCUUUUAGCAGUUCAAUUCUCGUUUUCUUACAUUACAUUGAAUUUGCCUCUGUUUUCUCGAUUUAUAAUUUAUGUUAUGCUUUUUGCCGUUUGAUUCAUAUUUAAUAUCCUUUGAUCUCCAAUGGGUUAUGGUAUGAUUGUGUGAUGUAAUGUUUAAAUACAAUGUUGUUUUGAGGUAUGAUUGUGUUUCAUAUGUUUUUUGUUUGGUAUUCUUGUUAUGAUUAUAUGAUGUUUAGUUUUUAGUGUGUAAGAUUGUUUUCGAUAUUUGUGCAGAUAUUUGUUAUACAGGAGUUAAAGAAGAUGGGUUUAAACUCGGUUUAUAGGCAUCUGCAAGAGGUCUUUCCUACGGUAUAUACGUAUUCUUAACCACAGAUAUGCACAUUUUUGUAUAUGCUUAUCGAGUUGGUAUGAUGAUACUUGGUUAUGUUAAAGAAAGUUAAAUCUGAUCAUCGAAGGACAAUCUCGAGUCUCGGUUGUUUACUUCUGGGAAUUGAGUUCAUAUGCAUACACCAUUUUCUGUCUUAUGAUGCCAUAUAGAUUUAGUUACAUUUGUAGCUGCUAUCUUGUAUUUGUAGUUGGUGAUUUUUUAUAUCUUUUUUUUGUUUAAACAGAUUGACACUCGUGUGCUUAGAGCUGUUGCAAUAGAGAACUCAAAGGAUAGUCAAGUAGCUGCUAAAGUUGUUCUUGAAGAGAUCAUACCCUUUCUUCCUGUGAAAUCAGAGUCAUUUAAUUCUGCCAAUGAGAUUAAUUCUUGCUCAUUUGAAGGUACUCUGUCCUUUUGCAGUGGAAUUGAGUUGUGUAUGAAUUUACAUAUGUACAUUUGAUUUUCUGUCGUACAAGUUUUUAAUGGAUUCUUUUUCACUCUUUAGGUGCUGAAGCUGUUUCCCCUACAUUUUUUGCUCAGAUAUAUGAAUCCCUCUCAAGUGAAAAUGGUGAAAUCGUUGGCAUGGGAGAUAAGCCUGUUUACCAGAAAUCACCAGGGGAAUCUGCAGAUAUAAGUAACGUUGGUGUUGAUUUGUCUGCCGUAAAUACGACUUUACUUAAUGAAAAAGCCUCUAAUAACGAAUCUAAGCAAGUGCAUAUAGAGUUUGCUAAUGAGAAAAAUAGUUCAUCACAAACUUCUAAAAAGAGUAGCAAAGAAGAUUCGGAAGUUUUAGAUGAUUCAUCUCUUGAUGGUGAUGUAGCUUCAUCUUCAACUCAAAAUGUUUUGCUUGAUGGUUCCACAAACAGCAUAGAAUUAGUCACGGUGCCUGAACCAAGUUAUUCAUUCAUUACUGUUUCAAAAACUGAUGUACCCCCGAGUGAAAUGAUUGAUUGUGAAAACAAGUCUGCGAUCCACACUAUGGCUGAUCCCGAGACAACAUUUUCAAAUGUUGAUAAACCGGAGAAAAGUAAUUUUACUGUAGCUGCAUCUGAGAAAGGGUUAGCAAUUACAGUAUUUGAUGAUUUUGAGGGCGAGACUGACGUGAACACUGCCAUCAGAUCGCAAUACGAGCAUAUAUAUAGCACUCAACAUCUUGAGGAUAUUAUUGAAUCUUCCAAGAGUGAAAAGGUGAUCAGCCUUCAAUUCUGUUUCCUUCUGUUGUAAUUACUUAUAUUUUUCAUUAGUUAACCAGGUUCAUAAUUUAAAUUAAGAGCACCAUGAAUAUAAGCUAAAAAUCAUUAAUACAUGCUAUAAAAUAUGUAUGUAUGCAUGCAUGUAUGUAUAUUUCCUGGAUGUGACUGCCUUUUGAUUUUAAUUUUUGAACACUGUGCUCAGAUAACUUUACAGUCAGCGAAGGAGUCACUAUACAGCUUGAUGAGAGAAGUAGAGCUCAAAGAGAACUCUGUAGAACAAGCGGAGGAAGAAGCUGCUCAUGGGGGCUUGAGCAUACUUAUCAAUGUGAAAGAAUUAAAACAGAUGCUUCAACGUGCAAAGGAAGCAAAUGACAUGGUUCUGUACCUUUACAUUAAUGUUUUUAGCUGAACUAUUAAAUGCAUUGUUAUCUUUGACUUAUUAUGUUUCAAGCUUCCUCUAAUGCAGAAUGCUGGAGAAGUUUAUGGUGAAAAGGCUAUUCUAGCCACUGAAGUGAGGGAGCUUCAGUCUCGCUUGGUCAGCAUGUCAGAUGAAAGGAAUAAAGCUCUUGCCAUGCUUGAUGAGGUUAUGUCAUCAGAAUUAACUCCUCAUGUGGGUGUUCAGGGAGGGGUAGGGGAGGGUGUUACUUGGCAGCUUGCAUUGUUUGUUUAACAUAUAUGAGCCUGAUGAUAACUCCCUUUGUAAUGCUGGAUAAUUACUUCAUGUAGAGAAUAGGUUAGUGAUUCUUGUUGGCCAUGUACUAAUGGGAAGUAUAGUAUUACCCUGCACAUGAGUGUUAUUCUAACUAAUGAACUUGCUUCUGUAUAAGUCAUGACUGUAUCCUUCUCAAUUCCUAUGAAAUAGAAAAAUAGCUGUAAGUUGUGUUCAUGGCCUUGGUGUUUUAAUCUGGUUAACAUGCCAAUGCCAAAAGCAUUUUGGUGCUCCUGCAUAUAAAUAUGUACUCAUUUUUAGUUUUACAUCAGUAAAUGUUGUUUGGUAAGCUGUACACAUGGAUGUCUGUUUAUUUGCCAGAAUCCGGAAAUUAUUUAUGCUUGUAUUAAGUUGAUUCACUUAUGAUGCUAUAUUGAUAGUCAUAGUCUUAUAUAUUCAGUUUCUAUACUUGACAUGUUUUUAGUAUUGUUAUAUAUGUCCUUUGAGGCAAUGAGAAAAGUGACAAAUGUUUCCUUAUUCAUAUCUUAAUGCUUCCAUUCCUUUUUGCAGAUGCGUCAAUCACUUAAAGGGCGAUUGGAAGAAGCAGAAAGAGGUAUUAAAGCUGCAGAGCAAGAAAGAUUGGACAAGGAAGAGUUUGCUCGCAAAUCGCUAGCAUAUGAAAACAGCAUUAUGGAAAAGGUGGUUGAGGAGUCGAAGAUUCUUGAGCAAGAAGCACAGAAGAACUCUGAGGUACUUAUCUACCCUCGCACAAAAUAUUUUUCUGUUUUUUUAUGUUAAAAUAAAUAUUUCUAGUGCAUAAUUUUCAACAUCUUGCGUUUUUUGUGAUUUAGUUGAGAGAGUUUCUUAUGGAUCGUGGCCGAUUAGUCGACAUAAUUCAGUAAGUUCCUUAAACUUGGUAAAUUGGUAGGGCAAGUUUUUUAUCUGUUCAACUGUUCGUCAGCUGUGCAUAGAUCCUACUUGUUGAGGGCAUAUGCCCUGGCAUAUUUAUCAGAAAGAUCCAGAGUGCCAGAAAAUAUAUCGCUUUUGCAUGAUAUUGAUCCCGAAACACAAAAGUAUAAUUACAAUUUUCUAUUUAUUUUGUAGAGGAGAAAUAUCAGUUGUAUGCCAGGACAUUAAAUUGAUCAAAGAGAAGUUUGACCAACAUGUUCCAUUAAGCAAGUUACUAUCUUCCAGCUAUACUUUGGCGUCAUUGACUUCUUCCAGUUCUUCUAUACCAAGUACCGCACCUCAGCAGAUGUCAGAACUUGUUCAUGCUCUUGACAGCAUAAAGGCACUUGACAGAUCAAUUGCCGAUGAUCAGAUUUCAUAUGGAGAGGAGGUGCCUAGCCAUCAGAAGGAGCUUAUUGAUGAUGGGUGGGAAUUCUUUAAUAAAGAGGAAUGCAGGACGUGAUUUCUUAAUUUUCAAGGAUAGACAAUACUCCUAGAUCAAAAUUUGUGUUUAUAAGUGUCUAGCAAUUAGGAUCUCUAGUAGUGAUUUUUUUGAGUUGAGUAGAGAUGUGUUUUCAACCUCGUACUUUUGGGCAGCGAGGUAGCUUUGAUACACUGCAAAUAUGGAAAUUAUGGUAUAUCUCUAUGGUACUGGUUUUGAACUCAUUCUAAUGAUAUUGAAUUGUCUAUUUUAAUUUGAAGGUUGCUAGGGACUUGAUUCUAAAGGUAAAUUACUCAGUUUUGUUCAGGUAUAAUACUUUCUGUUUUUGGCUUGUUUGGUAAAAUACUUCUAUUUUGCCAUUUUUUUUAGAAAGUAGUUAAAAUAAAAGGAAAAUAUUGUGCUAGUAAAGAUAAAGGCACCGGUAAGUAACCAUACUUGGACCAAUGUGGAGAGUCCUGGGGAGUUCCAUGAAUAUAAUAUAAAUAAUUCAAUUUCUAAAAAGUAUAUUAUUCAAUUUCUAAAAAGGAUGUAUAAGACAAUUCCGACAAUAAUAUUAUUGGUUCUCUAUUAUUAUUAUAAUAUUAAAUUCUAAAUCUGAAUGAAUAUUUAGUCAUUAAAGAUAAAUGAGGAAUGGUUAAUCAUUAGUAUAUAUUUAUCUAUCUAUUUAUCAUUACGAGGAAUGAAAAAUGGAUUUAAAAAGUGAGAUACAAUUAAACCUCCACUGAUCGACAACUGAGUUCAAUGAUAAAAAGUUUGGAAGUAGUUGCCCAGAGAAAGUUGUAUUUUCAUCCCUCUACCAAAGAUAACCUGUUAAUCCAGAUUGGAAGAACUACAGCACAUAGAUAAUGCAGCAUUCUUACAUCAAAUGCAGUCCCUUUGCCGUAGACGAAUCAUAGAAAAAUAUAUGACAACAUACUAGACUCAAUCGCAGACAGUGCAGUUUUCAACAAACUUACUUUGAACAUUACAUUGCGUCUGCAGUUCCAUAAAAUCAAAACUUAUACUGGAUUAAUUUCAGUGAAUUCCAAGUCUCUAGCUGAAGCAUGAUCAAUAGCAGAUUUCUACUAUUUUCAUCAUACUAGGUAAUAAAACCUCACCAGGACACUUUUCUUAGCAACUUUUACCAUAUUGGUCAUUAACAUCAGCAAGUCCAAAUGUGUCUCCAGAAAUUGAACUGUCUUCACACGCUGUAUCCGGGAAAAAGAGAAUAUCUGGAAAAUGUUCUUCCCAGCAUAAGAAUAUGAUUAAUAGCAUGUAUAACAAACAAAUCACUUAAAACGCUUCAUAUAACAAGCAAAUACAUCUACAGAAGCCACUGAGUUCACAAUGAUCAGGUUUUUAUAAAGUGAAGCAUCAGUCAUUCAAUCACUUCAUAAAAUUGCAAUCUUGCAGUUUAAACAUGAUAUUUAGAAGUUCAGAACAUUGUUCCAUACAAAAGAGAGGUCCUCAGAUAACAUAAGAGAGAGUUGCUAAUUUAAGAGAGUGGAAAGGUAUUGCCCACAUGCACACAUAACAUUUUUCAUCAGUUUGGUUACUCGGCAACCAAAUCAUAUGUAUCUAUAAGAUUCGAAUCUUUGGGUUGGUAAACAAUUUGUUUGAUCAAGCCUCCUAGCUUGUCAUUGUGUUGAAUCAUCUUCUGCAAGAUUUCAUCUUCAGAGACUAUCUUUGGAACAUUUUCCUUGCAGCUAUCCUUGUCAUCCGAAGAAAACACAAUCUCUGACAACCGGUCCUUGGCAGUUUGAGCAUUGUAUUUUCUGUUGUCCAUCUCUUGUGCAAUAAGAUGGUAAGUGUACACAAUUUUUUUCUGGCCGAUUCUAUAGGCUCGGCUUAUUGCUUGUCUUUCAACAGAAGGAUUCCACACCACAUCCAGCAGAACAACUCUUGAAGCCCCAACAAGAUUUAUGCCUUCUGAACAAGCCUUUGUCGAAGCUAAAAGUACCCUCACUUUGCUUCUCGGAUCAUUGACAGAACUGAUUAUAGUUUGGCGCUGCUUUGGUUGAAGUUCUCCACACAUAUAUAGCACUUCUUUUCCCUCAGUCCACCCAAAGUAUGUCUGAAGUUGCUUUUUUAUAAAGACCAGAGGAUCGAGAAUUUCACUAUAAAUGAGUACCUUUUCAUCUAGCGCCUCACUCAGCCUACAGAUUUCCACAACAAAUUUUGUCUUUGCACCGGAAAACGGAUCUGUUUCUAGCUUCUUAAGCUUAUCCUUAUAAGUAGAUAAUUGAUGUUCUUCAAAAUAUCUCUCAGGUAAUAGUGAGGGAUGGACUGAUACCAGGGUAGCCACGUUUGAAAAUUCCAGGUUGCGAGCUUUCAUGUCAUCAGUACUCAGAACACCUAUUAGCUCCUGCUGCAAAUCUGUCGGCUGCAAGUGAAUCAAGGCAUCCUUUAGACCUGGACAGCUUUUUUGAAGUAUUUUUCCUUUAUGCACAUGCACAAAAGGGCUAAUCAUAACUUUUAGCUCCCCAAGUUUAUGCGCAGACCACUUAUUUUGUACUUCUUUGCUGAGAUUCCUUAGGCUUUUCUUCAUCUCGCCAUCAAAUUUGGGGUUCACCAGGCGCAGGGUAUUAUAUAGCUCAUCAAAAUUGUUCUGGAAGGGAGUUCCCGACAAAAUGAUGCGCCUCUGAGUCUUAACAGCAAGCAAGGACUUGUAGAUACUGCUUUGGUCGUUCCGGGGUGUGUGUCCUUCAUCCAGUACUAAAAGACUAGGGUGCUUUAGAAGGGCUUUCCCCAUUUUCCUUUUAAUAGGAGUGCAGCCAACAGUUUGUGAUGCUUCACUCACAAGUUUAUCAAACAAUUUAUAUGUUAUUCCCAGGAUGCUUUUGUCCCUUAUCCAUGACAAAAGCUUGACCACACGAGUAAACAUUACAUUGUUCCUGCUGUCCCUUCCUUUACUUGAAAAGCUUACAGCUGCUGGAUUUUCCUGGCCCGAGAACUCCGGGUUGUUCAAAUUGUGGAAAGGCAUAUUGAUGUUCCACUUUUUGAAUUCCUCUUCCCAUGUGAGAAGCAUGCUCUUAGGAGCUAUGAUUACUGGCCUAGAAUCUGGGUACAGCUUCAUGAAUGAUUGGAGAAAUAUAAUAGUAAGGCGAGUUUUCCCUGUCCCAGGGGCAUGUGAUAUUAUGCAUCCAGAACCAGAACUCGACAGUGGCUUCUCCAACUUCUCAAUAUAAAUUCCACCAGCAAGAUUCUUCCAGAUGAACUCAAAGCCUUCACGCUGGUGUUCAUACAUGCUACUCCUUGUUCCUGGUACCAAAUCCCAGACAGUUCCAGUGAUGUUGUAGAUUUCAGAAUUAUGUCUUCUGGCAUCAGUGUAUUCAAAAUCAUCUGAGUAUAUAGGGCAUCCCGAUUGUUCAAAAUAACCCCUUCUCCGUGUCUGUGGCGAAGGCUUGCUCUGUACACAAAGUUCAAAGUGGAUUUUUUAAGCAACUUCAUUACUAACCAGAGUCUUUAAAGCAAAAACCAAAUAUCUAAAUAACAUGACAAACACUUGACAGAAUGGAAUAAUUGACAAAACCAGAAGAACAACGCACCUACUAUGAAUUACUCAUCAUCAGAUGCUUCUAUAUACCGAAUAUGAGAUUAUUCAUAACCGAAAUCAAUUUAACACUCAAAAGGAGAGACAAAGAAUAGCAUGACUUACAAAAGUUGGAAGAAUAUGCUUGAUCUCUUGCCUCACGUGCGAACAACACUUGCAUAUGAUUCCGAUUUGUUCAUCAAGAACAAGAUGGUGAAUUCCUUGACUACAAAGAGUAGCCUGAUCAGUUUCUGUUUUACAGUGAUCAUCAUUGUCAACCUUCAUAUGGUCUGAAGAACAAUCAGUUUCCUGUUUUGUAUAUUUUGAAUUGGAAAACAGUGUCAAGACAUUAUAUGAGUAAGCCUAGAAAAGAUUAAUUUUGACUCAGUAAUAAAAAUUCAAGCUUCAUAGAAUUGCAAAUGCACACUACCCUAAAAGUAUACUACUUGUUUCCCCUUAUUUGCUAAUUGUGUUAGGCUCUCAGGAGGAUUCAAUCGCUAAACAAGCAUAAGCAGUUCAAGAAUGAAAAUGCAAGCUGCGCCAGAAGAUAAAGAUAGUUGAGAUAAAUGAAAGCAACUUAUAUUCUUACCGGUGGAGUAGAACCAAUCUCUUCAAAAGUGAGGCACAUGUUCAGCUCUUUGAAGAGUUCAUCAACAUGUUUAUCAAAGUCUGAUUUUUCCACCGGCUUCUCAUCCUCGUCUCUAAACCAGAACUUGUGUUGCGAUUUUUCCUUCUCAGCCUCUUCCACAACCUCUCCAUCACCAUCUAGACUAUCAGCAAGAAUCUCAAGAAAAUCCAGCUUCUUACUUGCUUUUCUUUUAGCAGCCAUCUUCAGAUUCUUCUGUCUUUCUCUGCCAUCUCUCUUAACAUAAUUUUCCUGACUUUCAUUGUCAUUCUCCGACGAAGAAUAAAUCUCCACCACCUCAGGUUUUGGAUCACAUUGUCCAUCUUGACUUGAAUUUACUUUAUCUCUGUAACAUUUUUCAACCAAACUCUCACAAAUUCUGUGCCUCACAUCAUCAUUAGAAUUUGACUCCUCAAGCUCAAAAGAAACCCCUUUUCUUUUUCCUCUGCACUCAUAGUCUUCCUUCUUUCUUUUAUCAUUUCUGCUUCCCCCUUUUCCACUCUCAGACAUCCUCACCUUCCCGUUGCAUUCGACAUCUUUCUUCUCCCAAACUCUGCACCUCACCUCAUCAUUAUUCGAAUUUGAUUCUGUAAACUCGAAAUCCACCUUCCUUUUCCCUCUGUGCUCAAAAUCUCCCCGCCUCCUUUUAACCUUUUUGCUUCGUCUUUGUCCACUCUCAACUAUCCUCCCCUUCCCCUUGCACCUCACCUCCUCCUCAUCAUCACAUGAGCUCGAAUCAUCCAAACUCUCAUCAUGAUCAGAUCUUGACUCUUUCCGGUCCUCUCUAUAAGACUCAUCCGACUCAUCAUCAUAAAAACUAUCAUCUUCACUAGAUGUUGUUUUAUGUGAUAAAUCAUCCCCCUUCGCAUCCAAAGCCACAUCUACCUCGUCAUCUUGAUCAUUAUCAGUACCAUCAUCACCGCCAUCCACCAUUCUCUCAUCUGCAUUCUCCUCCCCUAUAUCAACAACAGAAAUCACCCUAAUAUCCGAAUCACUCUCUUCAUCACUCAAAAAUUUAUCCACAAACUUAUCAACAUCAACACAACUCAUCUCAACUACAUCAUCCUCACUUGAAUAACACGCUUUUUCCCUCUUUUCACCCUUUUUAAAUCCCCCCUCAAAUCUUCUCGAUUUCGAACUCUCACCCUUCUUGACCACACUCGGCCCUUCAUCAUCUUCAUCAGAAACCAAAUCCACGUGCUCCACCUUAAUCUCCGGUCCGGCAGCUCCGGCGCCGGAAGUUCUGCCCUUCCUGGCCCUCUCCUUCCUUAAAGUCUCAUGCAAAAUCUUAUCAAAACCCAACCUCGUGCGCUUAGCUACCGGCAACUCUCCAGAAUCCAUAACUGCAAAUAAGUUGCUGUGUGUUCUAAGAGAGAGACUUAUUGCUGGAGAGAGAGAGAGAAUUUGGUAGAUAAGAGGGAAGAUGAAAAGCUAUACUUAUAAGUAAUAUUUAGUGCUCUUCCGGGGCAAAAGUUAAAGUGAGGAGUGCCAAAAGAGGCAAGGAGUCAUUGGUUGUUUACCUGCUAAGUCUGAGACCAAUGGACAAAUAAGUGAUUCCUUCUAUAUCUGUGCAUGUAUUGUGUAUAUAGCUACUGGUACUGGUGUUAUAGACAGGGGUGAUUCAUGAGAGAGUGCUUGGAUUUUAUUCUUUUGAGAAUACCAAGCAUCGGAACUGGUUACUAUUUUGCAUAGCUUUCAAAUUUAGGCUAGCUGCUCCAUCGUGCCUUUUUUUUUUCUUUCAAAUUUGACUGAAUCUUGUAUACAUUGUGUAAUUCAAAAAGUAUUAAAUAAUUUUAUCAUUAUCUACUAGUAUGUACUCCCUCCGUCCCCUAUACAUUGGGGGACGGGGACGCGGCACGGUAAAAUGUAGUUGUGUAAUUUAUUUUUUAAAUUUUCUUUUUCUGAAUUAAAGUUUGGAUGUUAUAUUUUUAUUCAGAAAAAGAAAAUCUCAAAAAUAAGUUACGGAACUAUAUUUUAUAAGAGCAUUGAAAUGCGUGUCGAGCAGUUGAAAAGAAACGUAUACAAUUAAAUGGGACAGAGGGAGUAUAAUUUAUUUUAAGAUAUAAUUUUCAGUUUUUAAAAUGAUAGAAAAAUAAUGCUUAAUCAUAGUCAUAAAAUGACAUGUUUAAUCUUUGAAAUUCAAAUACGGAUAAACCAGAAUAUGUAAAGACCUGGACUUUAUGGUUGGAUAGGAAGAAGUUAUUUUACAUCUUAGUGAUUUAAAUGUUUAUAUAAAAAAUUUGGUUGAUUAAAAUUUUAAUUAUAUAACUUUAUUUGUAAAGUAAAAUUUUGAAAUUAUAAUUAUAAUCGAACAAUCAUGGAAUCUCGCAUGAAAAACAAGAAAGGGAGUAUGAUUUAAAAUGAUUCCCAACACGAAAUAAAGAUGACAAAUAAUCCCAGGCAACAACCUCAGGACACACUUUCCUCUUUCUAUCAUCUGCCUCAUUCAUUGUAGCCUGUUCUUACAAACGUUGAGUGUUCUAAGCAUCUUCUACCUUUGGCUAGCAGAGCAGAGCAGCAGCGACAUACUUUUAAGUGACAUAUAUGGCCUGAGAAUUAAUUGAUAAACCUUGCUGGAGAUACAAGUAAGAACUAAAAUAGAAACUGCAGGUUCAGUCACUAGAGUUUCACAAUGCAUCUUGCCAAAAUGUAAUAAAAGAGGUUAGGUUUACCUCAUAAGUUUCAAUCAUAAAGAUAUAUACCAACAUUUGAAUUCAAAACAUGCAGCAACUAAUAUUUUUCAUUGAUGAUCAACAAAUAGCAAUGCUAAAACUAACAAACUAACUGGUAAAUAAUAAGAGUAAUUGAAGUAGAUUGUGAAUGAACCGACUUAAAAAGCCUGCAACCGAGACUUGGCCGUUGUCAAAAGUUCAAUUGUGGUGCUUUUCUUUCGGUUGUCAACAGUUCAUAUUCAAUUACUAUUAUUCUCCCAAAACCUGAAAUUUUAUUUUUGGGUCGAGAAUGGAUCACAUGCACCAAUCUUUUGGGGGCAUAAUUUUGUCUUCGUGUCCCCGCGAGCCAUACCAUGUUAAGGACCAAUUCUCCCAAAAUCUGCACCGCAAGUAUUGGGAGAAUAUUCUAACAAUGUUUCCUAUUCUAGGAAAUGGAACCUUCACCUGGGAAACUCUAGGUAAUCUCUGUUUAAAACCUUAAUGGCUAAAUACACUGUGGGCAGGAUCUGCUUACUGCAUUUACCAAACUUACCAUCCAUGUCAGAAACCCAAGUAGAUUUAGGCCAAGAGUCGAAAAUGUGUCGCAGAAAUUUCCAUGUUGAUGCAGAACCCCUCUAAACCCCUCUAAACAUCAGAAGCUCCCAAAGUGGCAGCUGACAUGCAAGAUUUCACAUUAAUGAGACGUUAUAAUUCUAUCAAAAAAAGAUUAACAAGGUAGAAUCCUCUCCAUAGCUGUUAACAUAAUAACCAACAAAUAAUUUCAUUUUAUACAGAUGAUGAUCCAUCACUGCACGCAGACAAUAUUUUUUGUUUCAGAGGUGAAUGUUUAGAUACAGACCACCAUAGACUUAAGUGGUAUCCCUUAUUCGGCAAAAAAAAAAAAAAAAAAGGGGUAUCCCUUAUUCCACUUAUUUUCAUCCAGGGAUGUGAUAUUCCACUUAUUUUCCUUCAAUACACCUGGAGUCGGUAUAAAGCUGUUUUUCUAUAAUGACCAAACGACAUAUUUCUAUUCUAUAAUCGAUCACAAACCAUAGGAAAUAACCUUCUAUAAAGCAAGUAUAGUGAAGAUAGCCUGAUAACUCAUAUCGGAAGCAAUGCAACAUUCAAUAAGCUAGUAAAAAAUUCAAAUAAAAUGCAUCAGAGUAGAUAAAAUUCAAUAAAGUAGAAGACAAAAUUAUUGGCAUAAGCAUUUAGUAGGUUUCUACUUACUACUCUGGAAAAUGAAACCUCCACCUAGAAAACCUUUACCGUACUUACCAUUUAUAUUAGAGAUCCAAGUGUAUUCAGGCUGUAAGGCCAAAUGUGCCUAAGCAAUCCCCAUGUUCAUGCAAAACCGCUCUUAACUUCACAAGCACUCAGAGUGGCAGACAUGCAAGAUUUCACAUUAAUGAGACAUAAUAUCAAGAAGAGAUGAACGAGCUUGAGACCCAAAGAUGAUAAUCUGUCACAUGUAUGAUACAAAGCACCACGCAGAUGUAGCAAGUAUAUAGACAAAUCUUAACAAAGCCGCCAAGUAAACAAUGAACUGAGCUUAUAUAGAUAGAGAAUAUCAGGCUGUCAUUCAUUUUUAAAAUACUUAAAAUUCGUUUCAAGGAAAGUUGAGAUCCCUUUAAUCUACUAAAUGAAUGAAAGACUGAUAUUACAUAGAGACAUUUACUAAUUUGAAAGAGGAUUAAGAAACUGUUGCCAACAUGCACAUACCAUUCUCCAUCUGUUAAUUAAUGAUGACCGUCAAGAACUAUCCACUAUCAAUAUUUUGGCUGCUCUGUGUAUGGAACUUUUAUCACAUAGGUAAUAGGUCUAGGAUACCUUUUCUGAACCAACAAAAAGAUUUUCUUCCAAAUCACUCCUAUGCAACCACAUCAAAUGUAUCUAUCAAAUCUGAUUCUUUUGGCUGGUAAAGAAUUUGUUUAAAUAAGCCACCUAGCUUAUCAUUCUGUUGAUACAUCUCUUGCAAGAUCCUAUCUUCAGAGACCAUAUCCGGCGAAUUCUUCUGCAAGCUAUCCGUGUCUUUCGAAGAAAACAGCAUCUCCGACAAUCGAUCCUUGGCAGUCUGUACCUUGUACUUACGGACUUCCAUGUCUUCGGCUAUAAGAUGGUAGGUGUAGACAAUUUUUGUUUGGCCAAUCCUAUAGGCUCGACUUAUUGCCUGUCUCUCGACAGAGGGAUUCCACACUACAUCUAGCAGAACAACUCUCGAAGCUCCCACCAGAUGGAUGCCUUCAGAACAAGCCUUUAUAGAUGCCAAAAGUACCCUUGAUUUGCUUUUUGGAUCAUUCAGAGCACUGAUUGAAGAUUGUCGCUGCUUUGCUUCAAGUUUUCCAUCCAUAUAUAACACUUCCCUUCCUUCAGUCCAGCCAAAGUAACUCUGGAGCUGCUUUUUGAUUAAUUUCAAAGGUUUAAUAAACUGACCAAAAAUCAAUACCCUUUCUUUCAGUGCCACACUCAGCCGACAAAGUUCUAUAACAAAUUUUGUCUUUGCACCGGAAUAAGGAUCUUUUUUUAGUCUUUGCAGCUUAUCCUUGUAAGAUGAGAACUGAUGCAAUCGAAAACAUUGCUUUGGCAAGAGCGAGGGAUGGACAGAUACUAGUGAAAUUUCAUGUGCUAUUUCAAAGUGGCCAUUUUUAUGAUCUUUGGUUUUCAGGGCAGCUAUUAGCUCCUCCUGCAAAUCUGUCGGCUGCAAGCGGAUCAAGGCGUCCUUCAAUCUGGGACAUCUUUCUUGAAUUAUCUUUCCUUUAUGCACAUGGACAAAAGGACUAAUCAUAUGCUUUAGCUCCAUCAGUUUACGGCCCGACCAAUUAGAUUUUAAUUCUUUGCUGAUCUUCCUCAACUUUUUCUCCAAUGUAUCAUCAAAUUUGGAAGAUUUACUGUCAAAUUUGGGGCUCACCAAGCGCAGGGUAUUAUAUAGCUCAACAAAAUUAUUCUGGAAGGGAGUUCCUGACAGUAUGAUGCGCCUCUCAGUCUCAACAUCGAGUAAAGAGUUGUAGAUACGGCUUUGGUCAUUGCGGGGAUUGUGUCCUUCAUCCAGUACAAUAAUGCUAGGAAGCUGAAGGAGGACAUUCCCCAUAAGCUCUUCUGAAGGAUCGCACUCAGCAUUACUUGUCUCAGCGCUCACAAGCUUAUCAAAUAAAGCAUAUGUUAUUCCCAAUAUGCUUUUGUCCCUUUUCCAUGAAUAAAGCUUGACUAAACGUGCAAGAGUUUUAUUGUUCCUGUUGUGCCCUCCCAUCCUCGAAAUUUUUACAGCUGCCGAAUUUUCCUGGCCAGAAAACUCCAGGUUGUCCAUGUUAUGGAAAGGUAUAUUGAUGUUCCACUUUUUAAACUCCUCUUCCCAAGUAAGAAGCAUGCUCUUAGGAGCUAUGAUUACCGGCCGAGAAUCUGGGUACAUCCUCAUGAAUGAUUGGAGAAAUACGAUUGUAAGGCGAGUUUUUCCAGUCCCAGGGGCAUGCGAUAUAAUGCAUCCAGAACCAGAACUGGACAGGGGCUUCUCCAACUCGUCUAUCAUAAUUCCGCCAGCAAGAUUCUUCCAGAUGAACUCAAAACCUUCACGCUGGUGUUCAUACAUGCUGCUUCUCACCCCUGGUACCAAAUCCCAGACACUUCCUAUAGUGUUGUAAUCAUCAUAAUCAUGUCGUUCAGAAACCAUGCCUUGGAAGUAAUCUGAAAAUAAAGGGCAUUCAGGUUGUACAAAAUGUCUCCUCCUACGACUCUGAGGAUCAGAGGUGCUCUGUACACAAACAACGUUCAUGCAAAAUAUUAAUUGAGUAAUAAUAAGUUGAGAGUCGGAAAAUCCAAAAGCAGAUAUGUAAAGAGCGUGAGAAAUACUUUAAAGAACACUGCACCUUGCAAAACUAAAAGAAAAUGCUCCUAUUUCAGAUACAAGAUAUAGAAAAUGCGUAUUCAUACAAUAGGACUGGAAAAUAAUUAUCAGCUCUCCUAUUUGCGAAAUAGGAGAUCCUUCUUAAGUGAAAAGUCAGCACAAAAAAGUCUAGACAAAGCCUAGUAUAUAACUUACAAAGGUUGGAAGAAUAUGUCUGAUCUCUUGGCUCACAUGCGAACAAUAUUUGCAUACAAGUCCGAUUUGUUCAUCAAGAACAAGAUCGUGUUUGUCUCUAUUACAAUCACUUUGCAUCUUACAGUGAUCACCAUUAUCAACCUCCUGCAUGUGGUCAGAAAAACGAUCAAUGUCCUUAUAUGUAUAUAUUUUGAAUAUAUUAAUCUAGUGCCUAAUGGUAUAGAUGGAAAUUUAGAACAUAUAUGCUUUAAUGGAAAAAACAGAAAGAAAGAAUUUUCAUGCUUCAUUAACAAGUAUACUGCUCGUCUGUUUCAGUGUAAUUUCCUUAUUGUAUUACCUUUUAGUAAGGAUCUCAUUCUUAAACAAACAUAUGCAGUUCAAUAGUGAUAACAUGAGUUCACAUAAAAAAAAUGAAUCUUAGUUUAGUAAUAACAUUAAAGUCAAGAACAUGUAUUCUUCAAUGGGUUAUAUUAUGAAAAUUUCUAAAAUAUCAUCAAACACUUCAUAUUUAAAAGAUGUCCUAAAAGAACAUCAUCACUGAAGCUUAAUGUUCAAUACUAGUUUCUUCUACUCUUCUAUGUUUAUGAGGUUUCAACAUGCAUCACUGAAGCUUAUGUUCAAUACCCGAGACUUUAGAUCUACCAGGUGAAGCAUUAAGAUAGAAAGAUAGACUAAAUUAGGACCAAAAUAGGAAACAGUUAUAAUUUCACAUCAUAAUAAAUUACAGUCAACAUCUUACUACAUGAUUUUGAUAACAGAAUAUGGAUACCUAGUAUAUAUGUCAACUUGGUUUUCCAAAAUAAAGCAGAGCCUACACUUUAUAAGAAACAUGAAAUUUAUGGGAACUAAUAACAGCAGUCAAGAACAUGAUAAAUACAACUUGUACAUUAAACACAUGGUGUUUUUUUUUAUUGUGCAUGCAAAUUAAGUUAAUAAUUAAUACUUACCAGUUGAGUUGAACCAAUAUCUUCACAAGUAAGGGCCGUGUUCAGAUCUUCAAAGAGCCGAUCAAGCUCUGCAUCGAAAGCUGAUUUCUCAACUGGCUUCUUUUCAGGAAACCAGAACUUGUGUUUUAUUUCUUCCUUUUCAAUCUUUUUUAGACCCUCUCUUUUACCAGCGAAAAAAGCACAAAAAGCCUUUACAGGGUCAAUAUCCUCAUCUGCGUUUCUCCCAGUGGUCAUCUUCAGAUUUUUCCUUCUGUUGCCACCAUAUAUGUCACGACUUUUAUCAUCAGUCUCUACCAAAGGUUGAAUCUGCGAGCCAUCUUUCCUUAAACUCACUUUUUUACUUCUGGAUGUUAUAAGUGCAUCUGAUCGAAGACGAUCUGCAACAUUCUGUGUUCUUUUCAGAAAUCCACUCUUAACAAUUCGCUUCCCAUUCUUCCUACCAACACUUGUUUCAGACUUUGAACUAUCAUUUUCUUCAUCGGAGUCAUCAAAAUGACAUGAGCUGUUCCCAUCUUCAUCAUCGCUUUCACUUGAUUCUUCUAGCUCAAAUGUUUCUACCUUGUCCUCAAAUCUGCCAUCAACCGUUUCCUUCUCCCCUCUAUCAUUUUCCCUUCCACUUCCCUCGGCGAACUUCCCCUUCUCCCUCCCCUUCCUUUUAAAACCAUUCUUCCCUUCAAUUCUUCUAUCUGUCCCACAACCAUCAUCAGAAUCAUUGUCUCCUUCAUCCUCAGACUUUGCAUAAGAACUUGAAUCAUCCGAACUCUCAGCAUGAUCUGAUCCAACAAAACCCUCAUCUCUAAAACUCUCAUCGGAUUCAUCAUUUGUAUCUUCAUUAGAUUCUUCACUCGCAUCUUCACUCGACAAAGAAUCAAUCCUCUCCUCCUCCUCCACAUCAUCACCACCACCACCAUCUACUACCCUUUCAAUUUCCCUCUCUUCCCCCUUGUCAAAAGCCAACACCUCAACAACAUCCGAAUCAUCAUCAUCAUCUUUACAUAAAUCCCUCUCUCCCACUACAAUCACAUCACAAUCACUCUCACUAUCUUUAUCCAACUCUUUACCCUUCUCAGAUUUCCCCUUGCAUUCUCUCCCAUCCCCACCCCUCCCCCUCGCAUUCCCACUUAACCCUUCAUCAUCAUCUUCAACCAACACAACCGGAACCACCACAUCAGCCUCCACCGCAACCUGGCGGCCAGAACUUUUAAGUUUCUUAAAUUCCUCCUCUAUAAACCUAUCACUACCUGACCUAGUUCUCUUAGCAACAGGCAAUUUAUAAUAGGACUCCAUACUUGUUAACCUAAUCAAAUCAAACCAAUCAUUCAACUAAACAAAAAAACACAUGAUUAGAACACAAAGUAUUCAACUAAACAAAAAAAUCACAUGAUCAGAACACAAAGUUGCAUCUACAUUGAACACACAUAAUCACACACACAUGUACAUUGUUAUAGUUAAACAGAGAAAAAAGAUUAACCUAGGCAGAGCUGUAAUGAUUUAAGGUUGUAGGGUUAAGGAGAGUAAAUUACGGCAAGUUUUUAGGACAAAGAUUUAGAGAGUGUGAAAGGAAACGUACCUAGAAUAGAUGCAGAGAGAUAGAAAUAAAACGUAUCUACAUACAAACACGAAUGUGUUACAGCAUGCAAGCCCAUAUAGGAAAAUAUCUAAGAGACUGAAUCCUUUUCAGAACUAAUUACCCAGGUUGACCGUGCUUGGAACCAGAAUUUAAUGUCAUCAACUAUUUUUUAAUUUUUUUUAAAAAAUAAUAUAAAUUAUAUUAUUCGAUAUUUUCAGCUAAUAUAAUUAAAUCAGAAAUCAAAAUCAAAUUAUACAUAAAUAAUAUGAUGGUUGUUUGAAGUCGUUUUUAUUUUUAAAUAGCAUGAUUUCGGCUUCAAACCCAGUUAUAUUAAAUAUAUAUAUAUAUAUAUAUAUAUAUAUAUAUAUAUAUAUAUAUUUAAUAAAAAAAAUAUCUCCCGACCUCUUCAUCUUCACCGAUAGAGUGGUAGAUGAUUUGUCACCUGUGACUCGAAAUCUCGAGUGCUGUAUACAUUUAUCCUUAAGUCUCAAUAUACAUGUUAUUUUUAAGAAAAAAAUUUGUCUCGAAUUACAUGUUACUAUAUUCUUUCAAUACAAAUUUAUCUCUAUAUUUUUUGUGAAUUUUUUGAAACUCAACUUUAUUCAUGAUUCUUUUUCAAGGAUGUCAAAUUUUUUACAUUUCAAUACAUAUUUAUUUUUUACAUUUCAAUACAUAUCAAAAAAUAGUAAAAUUUUAUAAUAUUAAAAUUAACUAUAUCUACUCAUUAUUUUCAUUAUAUAUCUACUCAUUAUCUCCAUUAUAUUCUUUUUAUACAUAAAAUAUCACUUGAUCCCAAAACUUUACUCACUAUUUUUCUCUUUUCCGUUAUAUAUAAUAGAAUUGGAAAUAUGACCCCAAAUAUUAUAUAUUAAUACCAGAUAAUCCAUCAUGAUUUUUGGAAAAAAAAUGUCAGACCGUGUUGUGCUUAGGUUAAAAACUCUUACAAAGCGUUAUACGAUCCGGCACUAGAUCGUAUGAUUUUAAGAAGAAAAAAAAGAAACUAAACACCCAACGAUCUAACAUUUUGAAUUAUGAAAUGAUAGCUUGCGACCAUAUUAAUGAAAAUUACAGUAUUAUGUCAACACUCAUUCUCCGUCUCUUAAUUUAUAAGGUGAGAGAACAAUAGAAAUACUAUUUGACUCGUGAAGUGUCUUCAUAAAUGUUCUUUCUUUACUGGUGCCUUCAUAAAUGUUGUGAGGACUCUGUUUGUCCUAUUCCUAUGAGGUACUCACACUUUUUCCGAAUUCCGAUUCACUUGUCAACGGAGGGAGUACUUGAUUUCUAUAUUCCCAUCGUCAAGAUGAUGCUUUUAUGCAUGCGAGGACGGAGGAUCUUGCAACUCGCCGCACAGUAAACGAUCUUUAUAUUGGAAUCUUAGAGUUGUAAUCCGUUGGAAUUUUAAUACUAGAUUGUUUUUAUUAUGAAUUUUAAUGGAUUGAAUGUGAUUUCGAUUUUGUGCGAAUUUUUGAUAAAAUGUUGCAUAAUUGAUAUAAAUUUCUUAAGAUUUAAAUCCGAUACUUCAAAAUCUCAUGUAAUUUAGUGGGAUUUCAAAAAACUUAAUAUACACUGCGAAAUCCCACACAAUCCAUCAUUCUAUGAAAUCUAAAAAUUUUAUCAGCAUUUGAAUACCAUCAGAUUUUAGUUGAUUUUAAACAAUCUUAAUUGAAUAUCAUCAGAUUUUAAAUCAUAAUUUAAAAUCAUGACUGAAUACCAUCGGAUGUUGUAACAUAAUUUAAAAUCCCAAUUAAAUAUCUCAAGAUUUCAAUGAAUUUUAAACAAUUUCAAUUGAAUAACCACAAAUUUCAUGAAUGAAAAAAAAAUUUAAAAUCUCAAUCGAAUAUAAUAAUGGUGACAUUGAUUUCAUGUGAAGUCUUGAAAAUCUAAAAUAAAUUGUCAAAAUAUUCAUGAUUCCUCAAAAUUUUGUGAAAUAUGUAAAAACUUAUAUAAACAUUAAGUAUACUCAGCAAAUCUCCGAAAUUCUCCAUGUUAUAAUUCACAAAAACUCAUCGGCUCUUGAAUGCCAUCAUAUUUUAAUAAUUUUAAUUAAGUACUACCUGAUUUUUAAAUAUAAUAUAAAAUAAAGAUCGAAUAUAAUCAACUUUUUAUAAUAAUUUAAAAUACCAACAAAAUAUUUUGAGAUACUAAUAUAUAUUUUAUAAAAUCUGAACAACACACUUGAAUUUUGAGAAUUUUUUUUAAAAAAAAAUCUUAAGAAUUCCAUUCAUAUUCACCCCUAAAAUCCAUAUACUCCCUGUACUCUCCUAGUGCUCUUCAGACAUGCAGAAUAAUCGGGAAAAAAGCGCAUUCCAUAUACUGUGUAAUGACAUCGCAAUCACAUUUCUGCAUCACAUAAAAUCGAAUAAAACAUUUCAUGGCUGAGUGAUUAAUACGGACAAGACUCGCGUCUAAGAAAAAUAUGUACUUUCCUGCUAAAGCAACCCUUUACGACACUCUUCUACUAUGUUAAAUAUCCCUUCCUAGUCAAAUACUCCAAAAUCCAAAUAUUACGAGCUUUAGCAUUACAAACAUCUACCACCUAAUUAACUAAAGCAAACCAUUCGAGAGUAAUCAGGUUAAUCUUGCCAGUUCAGAAGAAGGACCGUGCACCUCCAUAUGAUGUAAAGUCUAGCUCUCUGCUGUCGAAUCUGUUUCGAGCAACGCCGCAGCUUUGAGCAUCCAACGGGGAUCGAAUUCGAGGCCAUAAAAUGCGAAAAAUCUGAGGAAAUGCCUGAGCAAGUGAGCUGCAAGUUUGGUGGAGUUGAAGGUGUGAGAGAGUUUGUUAGUUGGUACUAAUUGGUGUGAGCUGAGGAGGCUUAGGUCUUUUAUACAUGGAGAAGUGGAGAUAUGAGGCAAUGAGAUAUGUGGUCAGAAAAACAGUUAUGGUCCCCUCAUGUCAAAGGGUCUAAGGACAAACAGUCAGAUUAAGUUGUCUCUUUGUUCAUUUAUCCUCUUAAGAAUAACGUUUGUCAUCCAUAUUCAUGUCCUGGAUUGCUUGUCAUGAUGCUUACACUACUAUAUGCAUCUAAAUUUUCAUCGACCAUCGACCCCAAGCGUCCAUACUCUACUAGUAGGAUAUACGAAAAACAGUUCAUUUGAUUUGGCGCCCAUUCGCCCAACCCCAAGUGUCCAUAUUCUAGGCGUUAGGGAUUUACAAAAAAAUAGUUGAUUUGAUUUGACAAUUUUAUAAUAUUACUCUCUAAAAUUGAAUAAUAUUCUCAAACGCGAAAGAAAAUUUCUUUUAUGCUCUUAAGUUAAUAUUUGUCAUUUAUAUCUUCUCACAUGUCCUAGAUCGCUAGACAUAAUGCAUAACAUACAAUACAUAUAACUGUUUCUAUCAAUUUCUCAUCAACCCC